rnacentral:lncRNA from 1 species
CGGCUGUCAACAUUGUAACAACGACAACACAGGGCUUCCCACCUAAAGUAACUGACAUGGACCUGAGUGAAAACUAUAUACAUGAUACUCCUGGUGGCCAGCGUGAGUACUUCAAUACAUAACAGUGACAUAUCACCUUUUCAAAAUCUUAUGGUUCAUUUAUUUCAAGGCCGCUUUUCAGGGUUGCCCCUUUCAAGGUGGCCCCAAACAUGUUAAUAACAAACAAUAACACAAACAAUCUAAAAUGAGGGUUCUUAAGCUUUCUGUCUCCAGGGCCUACUUGAAAUGACUGAAACUUUGUGAGGCCUACCAGUCACAAAAUGGUGCAGCUGGAGCCAUGUCAAGUUACAAAAUGGUGACAGCGUUUAGCAUAAUCAGCUGACAAUUACUGGCAUCAUUUUCUACUGGAAAUCACAAAAUUCUUUGCUACAGCAUUUUCCUUGUGGUAAAGAGUUCCGUAGUCAUCUUUCCUCAUGUUAAAUACAAACAUUAGCUUGGGAAGGAUUUUAAUACAGCUUCCUAUUUUAAGAAGAAUUUGCUGACUCAAAAGCUCUAAGUAUAGCGGUGUUUCAAAUUAUUAUUGUUGUUGUUGUUAUUAUUAAAAUUUGUAUACCACCCUCAUCUGUAGAUCUCAGGGUGGUUCAAACAUAAACAUAUAUAUUUUCGCCUCCACCUCAUGCCUCUCAGUUUUUAUUCAUUUCUUGAAAUUUAUUCUCUUCUCCUUUCACACUGCUAGUUUCUUCUAGCCUUCCUUUUGCUUGCACUUCCUUCUGUAACACCUUCACUAUCUUAAGCCAUUCAUUUCUCCUCCCGGUUUACUAUUUUAAAAAUAAUGAACUUUUAUCUGUUUCUGAUUUUGCUCUAUGCCUUCUCUGGCAUUUUCCCCUCAGAGGAGGAAGUCCUCCUCUCCCUCUCCCAUUCUUCUUCUCAGCCACCUUUACUCGCCAUGCCGGGAGUUGCUGGUGCUGACAUCAGUCCAACCAAAAGGCGACCGUACAGCCAGAAAUCUGGGUGGGUUGUGACACUGAGUGGUCCUUGGCCCACCAUUUGAGAGACACUGAUCUAAAACACAAUAACACCUCUAAAAAACAUCACCACAGCAGAUAAAAACAACACCAGCAGACUGAAACAAAACAAACAAAGAAAUUUGGAAUACUGACUGGAGUCUAGAGAAGGGGACACGAAAGGAAGAAAAUAUUGAUGGUUUGAAGAGUUCUUUGGCAGCUGUGGCUGUGGAUAUAUUACUGUUUAUACUCUGGCUCCAGUGUGCUCCCACUGCUGGGUUGUUUUUUUGAAUCUGUGUAUUCACACUGCAUUACCUACGAUCAAGAGGUAGCCCAUAGUUUCUUGCUAAAUACUGCCGUUUCAUGAGGUCUACCCCAAACCAGCUUCAAUCUGACUUGAAAACAGUAGCUAUAUUCCAUUCAGGUUCCCUGUGGGCAGGUGGUCCUACAUGUCUGACAUCAGCAUGGGUGGAGGAGCACCUCACUUCCCACCCACCUUUCUCAAAACCAGGGGUGUAUGAGGAGAUGAUCACAGCAAUAAUGGCAACCCGGUUUCUCCCUCCGCGCUGGGCUCCUGCCGCCCAAACAGGGCAGUGAUGCUCUUGGCUUGCACUCCAGGCUUGGUGAGGGGGAAGAAGGGAUCUGGGAAUAGCCAGAGCCCUACUGAACUCAAUGUGACUUGUUUCUGGGUAGUCAUGAACAGGUUUGCUCUGUCAGGCUGAAAUCUUAUGCUUUUACAUUUGCUUAGAAGUAAGAUGACAGCUGCACAGAGUUGGGGGUGGGCAGAGAGGUGGGAAAGCACCCAGGCAAUUCACAUCAGGUGAGGCCAUCUCUGCCCCUUUUCCACCCACUGGUGUGGCCAAACAGCAUCAAAGAGCAGUGUAACAAUGUGCAAAAUUGAACUGAAACACAGGAGGGGCAAUCUUGCUGCAUUUUAAGCUGGUAGUGUUUACACAGCCUUAAUCUUAGGGUACGAUCGCUUCUUUUUUAACGACUUAAUUUUUCAGUUAGAGUACAGAAUUUCUCAUCCCUUAAAAGGAGAGGAAAUAGUAUGAUUUACAGCAUAGGGUGGCAGGGAGAGCAAAGACCUAUUCUAUUUCCUCAAAAUUUCAAAUAUGACUCCUAUUACCAGGUAGAGGUAUGUGGAUUUAAAUUUGUGUUUGUUCUCCUGAUGUCAGUGGAAGAAUGCCAUUUGCCCUGUCUCAAAAUGGAGGACAUUUUCAGCCCUCUCUGGCCAUCCCAACGAAAAGGGGAGUUGUCCAGGUCGCCGAUUUUCAAGUUCUUCCUCUGGAAAAUAUGGGAAACAGCAUGAAGAAAAAGCAAAAUAAAAAACAAUUCUCAUUUGAACCAACUGGAAAGAAUACCAGGAAAAUAUCAUUAAGGCUGCAAUUCUAUAUCUGGAGCAUUGAAUUCAGUGGGACUUACAUCUAUGUAGACAUGCAUAGGAUUGUACUGUAAGGCUGCAAUCCUAAACACGCGUUCCAUUCUGCACUUUUUCCUGAGUAAAGCACCCAUUGGAUUACAGUGUUAAUUACAUUGGCCUUUCCCUCAAUUGGCUCAACAAAAUUCAGUCCAUGUGCCUUUCUUGAUUGUGCGAUUGUGGUGCUCAGCACCACUUCCCUGAACCCAUGCCAUGGUGCAACACUAUAUAGGAUCUGAUUAUGCUGUUGGAAAUACUGAUUAAAAGGAACAGGGCCGCUGGAAAAGUGAUCAAGAAGAGAUGAGCCGAAAGACAUGCUUAAUUUACGAAGACUUGAGGAGCUCCAUCUUUUAAGAGUGACUUGAUUAGAGCAGGAAAAAGGUUGGUUGAGAAAUGAGCCUACCAUCUUUGGAACAAUGAUUGUUUUCUCCCCAUUCUCUGUUUUUAAAAAAUGGACAAAAAUUUAGUUGUGGUUGGCAUUCACUAUUCCGAUGCCUUUAAAUCUUUGCACACAAGAUUGCUCACCUCACUAACAAAAAUAACACCAAGAAAAUAAAAAAAAGUUUUCAAUUGUAUAAUACUUAAAAUUUUCAGGCUUGUUUGUUUUUUGUUUUUUAGCAACUCUUCCAAUAUAGAUUUUUCUAGUGGUGAAAUGAGGAAUAUAAAAAAUGUUUCUACAAAGUUGGAAACUAUUUUCUGACAAAAAAGGGGGAAAUAAAGUGUUCAUCUGUGCAUCUUUUGCUUAGGAAUUUCUGCCUGCAAAACUGCUGCCAAAUUCACUUUUGGAAGACUUUACGAAGAGGUACCCUUUUCAGUACUAUCCUACGCAUGAGUAUUCUGAAGCAAGUCCCACUGAAUUUAAUGAGACUCCCUUCCAGUACAUGUAAGGGCAUACAAGUUUUCAGUCUGAAGGGGAGGGGAUCUGAAAUCAGAUUCUGAAAUCUAUACAUUGGAUUGUCCAUUUGUUCUGAGUUCCAGCUAACUGUUUAAACUAAUGGCUUACAAUUGCGAUGUCACACUCAGACAAUGUAGCAGGGUCUUUCUGUAUUUAUAUCAUACUUGCUUCGUAUAUUAAUUCCUUCAUCUUGGUUUUAAAUAGCAAUCUUCCUUAGGAUAUGUAGCAGAAUAAUUCCACCAGAGGAAAAAAAAGGCUUUUAUCUCUGUUCUCCUCUGUGAAUGUACCAGAGGCCAUAUAUAGUGCAGACAGCUGCCCUGCUCUGCCUUGCGCUUGCCCUAACCUCUCCUCUGACCCACUCUCUUUCCUAUGAAAAGCUUUAAUUCAGGCUUUGAACUGAAGUCAGCAGCCGGGCAACCCUGCAAUAUCAACUGCCAGCUGGGAAAAUUACACGGGGAGUCUGCAGAGGGAGCUGAGAACUGGUGCAGCAUCGCUCAGCUCCGGGCCUUAAAACUGGACUUGAACCAGACCUCUCUGGCAGGACGGAGGCUGCGCUGUCUCUUUGUGCAGUCAUCCAAAGGGAGCAAAGCUGGGAUCUCAGUGAUUGCAUGAGCCAGGCUUGUUCUGCAAUUAGAGGGGAGAUCCUAGCUAAUCCCUCUCUAAAUGAGGGCUAAUUCCUAGUGUAAAAAACCUGUCAGCUGCUUGUUAACAGUUGCUUGGACCCUUGGUCAAUUGCAGGAGGGAACUGCAGCUGGACCCUCUUUUUCAAAAUGGGAACAUAAAUGUAAAACUUUACUAAGGCCAUGUCUGCUGUGUUAAUAACACAAAGCUUAAAUAAGAUGGUUGGGGGUGGGGGAAAUACAGCAGUAGUGCUGGUGGCAGGGGGAUAUUUAAUAUUGAAUUUGCUGGAGGUUUUUUUUUUUUUUUAAGCAAACGUGGAAACUUUUAGACACAAUCCCGGCUCUGUGUUUAAGUCAUUAAAACAUCUUUAAACAUUUUCUGGUUUUAGUUUUCUUAGCAGCAGUCCUUUUCCUGGAAUGUAUUUUAUUUUUCUUUUAAGUCUGUGAUUAUAUAUAUAUAUAUAUAUAUAGCAAAGCCCUUUGCAUUUCCAACAGUUUUUUUUUUUUUUAAGGGUGGGGGAAAGUAGCACAGGGUGGGGAAAGCAAGAGAACAGGGCCCUUUCUGUGUUUUAUUUCUAAUCCACAGGAAUCCAUUUUAGCCUUUUAUGGCCGCUGCACUUGCUGAGAGGAUUUACAUUCUCCGUACGUUAUCUGCAACAUCGCAAGCCGUGGCUGAGGAAUUGUUUCAUACCUGGGCUCAAAAACACACCAGUGCUUCUGGGAGGAUUUUUUUUUUUGGGGGGGGGGGGGAGAGACAGGGAAGCAGAGAAAGAGAAAAAAAGCAAGCCUGUGAAGAAGGGGGGGGGGGAAGAGAAGCUAAAGAAAGAGCUAGGCAGGAACUGCGGUGUGUAGAGUUCAUGCCCCAGACAAACUGAUGUUUAAACGUACCGGAGAGGGUAUUAGAGGAACCUUUGAUUCCAGCAGUGUAGCGCAGGCCUAGUCUAGAGAACAAUCUGUGUGAAGAAAAAUAAGAAUGCCGCAUUCUUUCCAUGGCGAUUCCUUGCUUUUGGCUUUUGCUCACACACAGAUGUAACUUGGGUUCCACAGACGUUAUGUGCACUUUGUUUUAACGGGAACCACCUCAUAUGCUACAUAGAUCUGGUCUAUGUUAAUUUUGCAUGUGCUCAUUCAUAAAUUAUAUUCCGUCUCAUUUCCAUGCUGUUUUCUCUAUCCAUAUGAAAAAGUAUAUUUACAAUUUUUAUCACAAAAUAACAUUUCUUUUGACACCCAUAUUUUAUUUUGAAGGACAUAAAAAAAAAACAUUUUGGAGCAUGUAUAUAAUAACACUGUGGUCUGAGAACAAUAUUGUAGAAUUCGUAAAAGUGCAAAACCCAAGGAAUAAUUAUGUUCUGCUCUGUGUAUUAGACUAGGAGGUGCAAAUUAGGUCAGUUUGAGAAAACAAAUUCUCCUCCAACACAGCUUGAUUAGAACGGAAUUGAUAUUCAUUACUUUACACUUCCCUAGAACAUAAUGGGUGUUCCUUAUUUUAGGCAACAGACUUCUACAGUGUCCUUGAUUUUGGAAACUAUUAAUCAGACAAUCACAAAAUAGAGCUCUUAGAUGCUGAAGAGGACAAGCUUCACUGUCCUCUAAAAUAAAUAAACGAACCUAGAUUGUUGCUGCUAGGCAAAUUUCUUUGCCAGCAUAUUUUGUUUGAUGAAAAGUUAUCAUUAUGGGAAAGAAAACUAAUGACGAUUUAUUUAAAACAUUUAUACUCCACCUUUCCACAAACACAGGCCUCUGAGACAGUUUACAAACAGAAUCAAACAGUCCAUUCUAACAAAAACAAGCCAAGAAACUACAACAUUAGAAACAAAAGCAGCAGCCAACCAACAGCUUGUAUAUAGAAAACUAAUUAAAUGCCACCUAAAUAUUGAGCAGAACGCAGGUGGUGCUGUGGUUUAAACCACUGCGCCGCUUGGACUUGCCGAUCAGAAGGUCUGUGGUGCGAAUCCCUGUGAUGGGGUGAGCUCCCGUUGUUUGGUCCUAGCUCCUGCCAACCUAGCAGUUCAAAAGCACGCAGUGCAAGUAGAUAAAUAGGUACCGCUCUGGCGGGAAGGUAAACGGCGUUUCCGUAUGCUGCUCUGGCUUCGCCAGAAGCGACUUAGUCAUGACCCGGAAAAACUGUCUGUGGAAGCGGACAAACGCCAGCUCUCUCGGCCUGUAAAGUGAGAUGAGCGCCGCAAGCCCAGAGUCGUUCGCGACUGAACUUAACUGUUAGGGGUACCUUUACCUUUUAAAAUACUGAGCAAAUAAAAAUGUCCUUCUAGUGGCCAGCAGUGUGGGGCAGUGUUGCUUAUGGGGCUUCCCAAGGUGGAGGUUGCUGCUGGUAACCAAAAGGAGAUUGAGAGGGAAAAGGUCAGUGCUGUGCAAGCAUAAAUGGACACUCCCACCACACCUGCCAGGAAGUCCCUGGCUAAAAUCUUGCCUCUUUUAUGAGCUUACUAAGUGGCAUUAAGCAAACCACUCUUUGCUAUGCCAUCAGCAAUGUAGGGCUAGUAAUACCAAUCUCCUUUACAAUAUUGAUUUGCUGAUAAUACAAUGUAAGGGGAGUGCUUUAAAUGCUGCAAAAAAAGCAUAUAACACUAAAUAUUUUUAUAACUAAAUUGAGCAGGACAGUUGGAACUAUAUUUUAUUUAAUUUUUUUUUUACAAUUUUCAACAAUUAAAGAACUAAAGAUUGAGGACCUGACGAAGAAUAUAAAAGUAUAAUUCUUCAGAUAAUUUUUUAAAAAAUGCAUCUAGAUUUUAAUUUUGGGAAUUAUUGAAGAUGUUCUCAGACCUAUACAAUUGAAAAUAUUUUCAUUCAUAAAUCACUCUGGUGACCAAUAUAUCUGAUAAUAAAUACCGUAUUUUUUGCACCAUAACACUCACUUUUUUCCUCCUAAAAAGUAAGGGGAAAUGUCUGUGUGUGUUAUGGAGGGAAUGCCUACGGGUGGCAUGCCUAUGGAUUUUCCUCCUCUAAAAACUACGUGCGUGUUAUGGUCGGGUGCGUGUUAUAGAGCGAAAAAUACGGUAUAUAUUUUUAAUAGAAAAUCAAAUUCUGGCAUCUGCGUGACAUCCAAGGAUAGAGUAGGUUUGGAGACCCCACCCAACAAUUUUUGCUGGAUCUGGGAGCAGAUCCCAGCUGUACUGGACCGCAUGGAGGAGUCUGAGGGGAAAACUGCAUGUACAGCUUCAUCUUGAAAUACACACACACACAAAAUUGGCCAGCCUGUUUUUCUGGCUGACUGGCAAUCCCACCAGUCCAAAAAAGGGACGCAGUCCUUGCCAGGAAGAUUUACAGUUUAUGUUAGACAGAUGAAACCUAAAUAAAGAUAAGAGUUUAGUAUAGUAUUAAAGUGGAGAAGAAUCAACAGCCCAUUGUGACAGCAAAUCACCCUUCUAUUCAAAGGUUCACAAACAUUAAAAAAACACCUUGACUGAUUAUAUGUAAUGUGCCAAAGGCUGAUAAGUGGAGGUGCUAAGUGGCAAUGAAUCUACAGUAAGAGAUUUGAGUAUGAGCCCCUGAUGCACAUUCAUGCCUGUAUCUUUAGCGUGAAUGCUAUGUCCCCUCUGGCUCCAGUGUGCAGGAUUCUGUUAUCUGUAUUCUUUUUUGUGUGUGUACUGGAUUUUAAGAGUGUACAAAUAUAUUCUGUGCAUGGUCGUGAUGUGAGAAUAAACUGUUAGGUGUACCCCGUGAAAUGUUUCAGGGCUCCCAGAAUUUAGCUUGUGUUUGGAUUCCUUGGAACCAAGGUUAUUGGAGAUUAGUGGUGUUUUCUGUGAUGCACGGCCCAUCUAUGAAUGUCCACAGACUGAGUUUCAGAUGGAAGGGGUCACAGCAUUGACAUUCCAACAAAUUCUGCUACUUCACUGAGGUUUUGGGUGGGUGGGUUGGUGGGUGGAGUCUUGAGCAUGCAUACACACCCAAACCAUUGCUCUUGGAUUCUUCAGAGAGCAAGACAGACCUUGCCAGUCCAUUUGUUCUCUCUCACACAACCCAGUGACAUCACUUCCAGGCAGAGGGAAAGCCGAAGAAAUAAUUGCCCCCUUCUGCUCACCUUCCAGAAGGAUCUCUGACCAGAAGCUCUGACGGCAACAAAACACCUGUAAACUGCCACCUUGUGUGCAGAGGCCCAUCCUCCUAGCAAAAAGGGUAUGUGCCAACAAAAGAAAUGGCCUUGACCAUUUUGUUUUUUUUUACAGUCCCCUGUUCUGAAGAAAUUGCACCUUCCAGCUAUAAAAUAAAAGGGCUGGAUGGAGGAUCUAGCUUCAAGACAUUGCAAUACUGUACAUUCUUUGUGCGCAUGGCGAUCUUUUGGAGGCAUCGUGGCUGAAGUGUGAAAACCUGAGCAGUGAGCUAUGAAUGCUGAGCGCAUAUACAUGUUCCACAAAGCCUCCAGGCCAUACAUUUCUUUUCUUGCUGCAUGCAUUUGUCCCAUCGAUUUAAUUUUCCUUUCCUUCUCAAGGCUUUUAGCCCCGCCAAAACCUCACUGGAACCUCGUUUCUGCACCUACCUAUGCCUUGCAUUUUCUCGACAAUGGAGGCAGAGGAGGUAGCGCAUUGGAUACCACAUGCCCCACCGAAGCCUUUGUUUGAAGGCCUCCUAAUAAAUCAGCUGGGAUGCAGGCAGACCCACCACACCCUGUUUGCACAGUGUAAAUUCUGGCCGGGUUUCUGCCUCCUGUCAUCUCCUCUCGCUGGUGUCAGGUUACUCCCUCCCUCCCUGUGAGUGAAACAACCCACCUGUGCCUGAGGGGCCUGUUUUUGAUUCCUGGGAAACUUUAACCUCUAUUAAUACCACUAAAUUAUUUGUUCAUAUGGUAAAGCACUUAUGUAAACUGAUCUUCCAUGCCCUCCCCCCCCCCCGCCUGCUCGGAGGAGGUAGAGGCCUUGCACAGAUGGCUCUACCUGUUCUCAAGAGGCUUUCAAACCCUCUACAUUCUUCUGUGCUGCUGCCUUAAUUUUUUUUAUUUUUUAUUUAGGCAAGGCUGGCGGGCAGGGAAUUUCUGUGACUGGAGGGAGUAAGCAGAGCACUAACCCCCUCCUUUGAAGCUCCUGGGGUGGCAGCAGAUUGCUUACCCUCCAAGCACUUAAAUUACCUGGGACUAUCUCGAAUAUCUGCUGAUAAUCCCAGAUUGAUGAUCAACUAGUGAAAACCCCAUCGUAUUUUAUUUUUUUGCCUGGCUGCCGAUUGGCUUGUAUGCAGUGGAGGCCGCUGCCUUGCACCUAUUAACAUCCUUGAAUCCCAGCACCUGCAGCCCCCUCUUCUUAAAACAGGUGAUUUUCAGGAGAGCUGGCGCCAUUUUCAAUGUUCAGUCAGCAUUGUGGCAGAAACUGUUGUUCCAUGUUCAGUUCUGAGUAGCCUGGGAGUAAGUCCCACUGAGUUCAGUAGAGCUUAUUUUAGAAUAGAUAUAGAAUCAUAGAACUGUGGAGUUGGAAGGGACCCUGAGGGUCAUCUAGUCCAACCCCUGGAAUCUCAACUAAAGCUGCCAUGGCUAGUGGUCUCCCUGGGCAAGCAUUUCUCUCUGCUGAAUUGGGCAAGAGAGUGAAGGUUUUAUAUUUUUAAAAUAACAGAGGCCAACAAGAGAAUAUUGAGAAGCAAAGCAGCUAGGAAGCCUGAUCUUUAUUGAACUGUUGCAACAGGUUCCUCACUCACCACACACAGGAUGGAGGAGGAACCCAGAACAAUAGUGUGCCAGCCCUUAUAUAGACUUUUGAAAUUGCCCACCCUGGAGCCCAAGACCAACCCUCAAUACAUCAUACAUGCAUCACUGAAGGGGCGGUCUACAGCAGAAGGGGUGGUCUACAGCAAAAUAUUGUCUGACAGGAAACCUGUUGAUGGGUUUACCUGGAGAGCCUGGCUAUUCUUUUGCGAUGAUAAAUACUUAAUUCCUGAGUCCAGGUCACAGGCUCACCCUAUACAUGUGCCCAAAUGUGUCCUUAAGGCAGGAUUUGUGAGCACAAGAGACAAUGGAGAGGCGUUUCCCAUUUCCUUCUUCCUUGCAGAUAAACAUUUGAGUUCAAUUUGGGAGAGUCAAAAUGGUUUCAGGACUUUUUUCCUGUACCGUUUCAGGCAUGUGGUUUAUAUGUGUUUGCCUGGUACAUUUAUGUAUGUGGUUGCUUGGUACAUUUAUGAACAUUUAUUUUAUAUCUUAUAAUUCUCAUAACAGAUUUCUCCAGGAACUUACUGGGGGAAAGCUGAAAAAUGAUUAGGGUGGGUGGGGUACUGGCAGGUACAUAUUUUCUCUCCCUCAUCACUGAGGGAGGUGGGGGGGAGGGACCUUAUUUAGGCUGUAAUCCAAUACACUGUUGUCCUGGAGUAAGCAGCAGUGAACUCAAUGGGACUGACUUCUUGGUAGAUUCACAUAAGCUUGCACUGUGGGUCUCUUCCCUGGUUGCAGGAUGGGUUAUAUGCUCAGCAACUGGAGAGAUUUUUUUAAUUUUAUUGUUAUUAUAUUGGUGGGUGCAAAUCAAUUUCCUCUAGGGAAUGAACUACUCCCAAGCCCUGUACAGCUCAGAAGUAAAUCCAACUCAAUUUAAGACAGUUUAUUCCUUCAUAAAUUGCACUGAACAGCAACUGAACACAGCAAGUCCAAUUACAGAGCUGUAAGGCUGCAAUCUAUGGGAUGUGGGUGGCGCUGUGGAUUAAACCACAGAGCCUAGGACUUGCCGUUCAGAAGGUUGGCAGUUUGAAACCCCACAACAGGGUGAGCUCCUGUUGUUUGGUCCCUGCUCCUGCCAACCUAGCAGUUCGAAAGCACGUCAAAGUGCAAGUAGAUAAAUAGGUACCGCUCUGGCAAGAAGGUAAACGGCGUUUCCGUGCGCUGCUCUGGUUCGCCAGAAGCGGCUUAGUCAUGCUGGCCACAUAACCCGGAAGCUGUACGCCGGCUCCCUCAGCCAAUAAAGCGAGAUGAGCUCCGCAACCCCAGAGCCGGUCACGACUGGACCUAAUGGUCAGGGGUCCCUUUACCUUUACCUUUACCUAAGGCUGCAAUCGGAUGCUCAGUUGCUAGGAAAGGAAGUCCCUUUGUACUCUGCGAACUUAUAAGUACACAUGCAUAGGACAGCGCAAGCUGUAUGUCUGUCUCCCAGUUGCUUGGGAAAGUAAUUUGACUGCAUGAUACACACCACACAUUUAAAGCACACAACGUACCCAGAGAACCCCUGGAACUGUUGUUUGUUAAAGGGGCUGGGAAUUGUAGCUCCGUGAGUCAAAUACAGUUCCCAGGAUUCUUGGGAUGUGCUUUAAGCAUGCUUUAAAUGUACUGUGCGUGUGCAGCCUUGAAUUCCAGGGAACUGGUAAAAGACUACUUUGUUUUUGCCUUGAGGCUGGGCACAAACCAAUCUUUCCUUACCCCCCUUGAAACAGAAAAAGAUGUAAAAGUCUUUUAGCCUCUUCCCUGGCAUGUAGCAUCACUGUCAAAAGGGAUGGUUUGUGCCACAAGCAGCCCCUCCAGCUAUCAUCAAGUAACCUUCCUUCUGCCCCCACCAAUUCUAUUGUUAUAGGUUUCCCUUUCAGUAGGGCUAUCAGUGUUUGUUGCCCUGAGGUAAAUACCUGGCCAGCAGGACCUGUUUAAAACUCUGCAAGGUCCAAGGAUUGAAAGGUUAUUUGAAGCCACUCCUUCUUGCUCACUGCACUGAGGGCCAGUGUUGUUUCCACCACCACCACCCUCAGCUGAGAGUGGAGGAACUCAAUAUGCAUAGAGUCCGUUCACAAUAAAAAAAUAAAUCUAGAGGUAGAUUUUCUAAAUUAAUAUUGCACCUUUUCUACAAGGAGCUACAUUUAUAUUGCACCUUUCCUAGAUGUUGAGUUCAGGCAUUCACCCAACCAUAACCUCUUAAAUUGAGGAUGAAGCCAGGUUGGGCACAUAAGCUCUGCCCCAAAUGUUUCCAGGAUGCUCUUCAGGUCUUCCUGCAAUUAGUGAGAAGUUCUGAAGAGGCUUUAAAGGUAUGUUCAGUCGACCCCUCUUGGAAACCUCCCAUGAGCAGGAAGCGUGGCUUAUCAAGGUCUCCAAUCAUUGGGAGAGUCCUUCAUGUGAAGAUAUGAAGAAAGAGCAGCCUUCCUGCCAGGGGGCAUUGGGGGUGGGUUUGGUUUAACCCUUUGUGUGUUCAGGCAUUGGCCAGUAGUAGUUGGUGGGGCAGGGUGGUGUUGCUUCCCUGGCCUUCCACCACCACCGUUGCUGUGUUGGACUUGGAGGGCAAGGAGGAAUGUGGCUGCCAAGGUUGGCGCAGUGCAAAUGCAUUGGCAGGAGUACCAAAUUACAGAUGUGUUUGCAUUGCACUAACCUCACUGCUGCCUUGACACUCCCCCUUCUGGUACACCACAGGGAUGGCAGUGUUGGAAGCUCAGGCAAGCAGCACCGCUCUGCCCUGCCAACUGCUAGUACUGGAUAUAUUCCAUCUGAUUUGAAUUUGGGAAGGUGCACCACCUAAAGAUCAGCGUUAGCCUAAAGCGAAAUUUGAGCAGGACAGAGCAGAUAGGGACGCUCCCAUUGAGAUUAAGAGGGUCAAGGUUUUUACUCUGUCAUUUUCACUUUGCUGGAAAAUAACUAUGUUCAGCUCUCCCCGUGAGCAACAUCAGAAAGAGAAAAUACACCAAGGUACAAGAUGCAUUUAAUGAUGUACAAAGAGUAAGGUCUUGAAUGUAAAUUGACCAUAUUUAAAUAUGCUUGUGAAGAAUGCUUCAGUUCCCUGAAAUGGCUUCUUUCUCUCUCUCUCUCUCUGGCUGUCUUGAACCUCCAAUCAAGGCCUGCCUGGGAGCAAUUUGGUGUUGGAAAUUGUUGCCACACGAACAGCUGAACGCUGGCAGGGUCACCUGCCCCCUGUGUCACACCCUGUCAUUUUAGAUUAAGAUAUGCAAAGGCGACAUGGCUGCGAACUUUCCCUUUGCUGCCGUGGCUGUGGCCAUCCCCUUGGCUUUAAUGAGAGGAAGGCGUAAUUGGAGUCAACUGCUUGAUUAUGAUAAUUGCUACUGUCUGGGGAAAGACGCAUUCAAGGCCUGUAGCGCGAUCAAUAGUGCACCUUUUAGGGUGGCUGCUGUCUGCACACAGGCAGAUGGGUCUGGAGGGAAGCAGCUCUCUCUGGCCCCAUACUGGCCUUUGACCUUAGGUUGACCACUUGUUCACUUCAGGAUUUUAGCCGGUCAGGGAAAAGGGUCAAUAGGUUUCUGGUUGUUCCUUGGUUCUCUUGGAUGAUUCAUCCUGAAGGAUUUAUCCCCUCAGAGGGAAGGGGUCUUCUUAAAAUUUAUCCCUUCGCUACAACCACAGAGCAAGAUGCCAUAUAUUUUCCAAUGGGAAGCUAACUGUUUUCAUUGUGCUUCUCAGCAAAAGCCUCGGGAAGACUCUGUGGGAAAGGCAAAAAAUAUAUAUUCCUCUUUAUGUGUCCAGUUGGGUGGACGACCUGUUGGGUUAGAUCAGGGCUGAAGAAAUAUAGGGUUCAGCUCUCAACAUUGUCACUGGCACCCAAUGUUUCUUUGUGAAGUACCGUUUAGGCUCUCCUGACUGCACAAACAUUAUACAACACCUACUGCUGAGAACAGUGUAUUUAGGGCAGGGUCCAACUGAGUAUGUUUUCAAAGUUAUGAACGCCAGAUACGGCACCAAAUGUAUUCACAAGACAGCCAGAGCCAAAACAGACAUGACAGGAUGCACUGUUGUGCUUUUCUUUCCCUCAGUGUUAUUUUAAACCAAAAGCAGCCUUGGGUGGCUGCAAGUUUAAAUGAAGGAGUGAAUGGUGGGAUCUUUUCCCCUCUGUCCAUUUCCCCUCUCAAAAUUGUCCUCCUCGGCUGUUUUUCUCCCCACAAAGGAAAAAUAUGAAGCAUAUAUUUUCCCCACAGACAGGAGUACAUCUGAGUGUUUAUGUCUUUGGUUGUUACCUUGCUUUGUGUUUUAAAUGCUGUUAAAACACCUUGAUCACUGUUUGGUGGACAGGCAGGAUACUGGUGUAACAGUGUCCUUCUUCCAAGACUGUCACAUCCGCAGCGUACAUUUAAAGCAAAUGGCUUCCACCUGAGAACCCUGGGAUCUGUAGUUUGUUAAGGAUGCUUGGGUGCUAUAGCUCUGUGUGGGAUAAACUACAGUUCCCAAGAUGAGGGAAGCAAUGUGCUUUAAAUGUAUGGUGUGGAUGUAGAACACUGCGGGAAAGAUAUAUGGAACUGAGUGUCACGUUUGGACUUCUGUAUCUCCACUGGCUUAUCUGCUUUCAAGACUAGCCUGGUAAUAUAUACAAGAGACUUUGACAUCCUUCAAGAAAAGAAACAGUCAAAAUGAAAACAGUAAUUAACACCAUUACCAGAAUGGUUAUCUGACUUACGUUAAGUGCAAAUCCAUCUCUUUUAUCAUAAUGGAGCUGCCAUCAUGGGCUGGGUGGUGAUGGUAACAACAUCAACAAUAGUAAUUCUGAACUUUGAGCCAUUGAAAUUAUGCUGGGAAUCCAAUACAAGAAACAUUUACAAAGAAAAGAUACAGAAAGGCUGGGUAAGGGCACUGUGUAAGGAAACCAGAUGUUGUUUUUUUAUAAAAUAAAUCUUUAUAAAGUUGGAAUCUAAUUUGGUAGAGGAUGUUCUGAACUAUGGCACCUAAUGGUAUGAUCCUAUGCAUGUUUAUUCAGAAGCAAGCCCCACUGCAUUCAGUGACGCUUACUCCCAGGUAAAUGGGCAUGGGCUCUACCUAUAUUUUGGGGCACAUUUGGGAUAAUGGCUAGCUUGAUAGGCAGAACAACUACAACCAAUGUGUGCUCUGCAAUUUACGAUGUCACCUUGCUUUGUUCAUUUUUCAUGAAUUAUUGAGCUCAUCCUCUUUCACAGCUCUGUCUCUUUUCAUAAUGGUCUUUCAUCCCUGUGCAGGAUUUUUGCACGGUAAAUGUUUUCAAGAACUUUGAUGUGUGUUUCGUAACAUGAAUUGCAUCCAUGUAACCGAUAACACUUUUUAGUUUAUGUCAUUUUACUACAGACAUAAGAAUGGAGAUUACUUAUGUAAAGUGGAGCUAAUGUAGCAGGAUUUAUAAUGAUGAUUCCCCCCCACCAAAUAAUAAUACAGUCUCGAGCAUCAUAAUCCUGUGACUGCUUAUGGAAUCUUACUCAAAGUGUGCUCACUUUGAUGAGGGCACAAAAUACUCAAUUGCAUGAUAUUUCAUAAGCAAUUUCAGAAAACAUGAAGUUCCUACAUGUCCCUGGGAGAGGAGAGGGGAGGUAGGGUGAACUGGCCAAACAGGAGACUUGGAAUUCAGCUAGCUCAUAAGGCAGUAAGAAUCUCAUACCCCUUGCCCUAUGCGGCGCAUAAGUGGGUGGCAGCAGCCGAGAAAUAAGGGUUGGCACUGGAACCGUAAACCACCCUACUGUUACAAGGCUGAUUCUCGAUGUGAAUUUGCAUUAUUGUCUAAGGUUGCUUCCAGACAACCUGGUUACUGAGCAUUCAUCUUGAUUUGUUUGCACAAAGUUUGCAGGGUGGUUCUGUGACGCCGACUUUAGAUUAAGCAUCCAUUCUGAAGUAUUUGCGGGGAGGUUAUGUGAUGUCAUUUCAAGCCACUUUCCAGGGCAUUUUGCAAUCACUUUCCUUAUUGCAAAAAGGUUUGUUUUUUGGGGGGUGUAUGGGUGGUUUAUUGCACAAGAGUGCCAAGUCUAUUUUAACUUGGGGAAGCAACAUGGCUCAGUGGUGAAGCAGAAGGUCCUGCAUCUCCUGGUAGGGCUGGAAAAAAACCCUGCAGAGGCGCCACCAGUCAGUGUUGAUGCUGCUGAGCUAGAUGGACCAAUGGUCUGACUCAGUACAAGGCAACUUCCUAUGGUCCUAACGGCACAACAUGAAUUUUUGCCAGUAUUUGGUUGAAUCUCACUUGUAAAACAGCAACAUUCUAGAAAUAUCCCUAGUCUGUCUGUCUCUCUCUCUUUGUUUAAUUUAUUUUUUCUGUGCAAUGUGUUUAUCAGUGCUUCAUGUGGUCAAUGGGGGAUACACAUCACUCUAAUAUUAGCAUUCCCAGAUUAUUAAUUAAUUAAUUGACUGAUUAUAUCCCACUUUUCCUCCCAAAGGAGCCCAAGGCGGCAAAUACCAAUGUGAUAAAAUGAGUGCUAAAACAAUAACACUAAUGUAUAUAUUAAAAGCAUUUAAAAUAUCUAAGGAUAUGUAAAAUAGAUCAACAUGCUCUAAGAUGUUAAACAGAGACAGAUCAAAGGAUAUGAGCAAAUUGUGCCACCUCUUUGGUGAUUCAGACCAAUUUGGUGGUCUAAUCCAGAGACAAUGCGACUCAGUGACGUUAUGUGAUUACCAUGAAAUGGACAAGCGGUGCCAUACUUAGUUCAAAAACUCAAAAGUUGGGAACUUUGGGUGUUUGUUUGUUUGUUUUUAAUUCAAAACGGGCAUAUCCAAAUUGCAUUAAAAAUCCAGACUCUCAUCUUCACCUCAAAUGCUCUUACUCCCAGAAACCAAAUAAAAGAAUUAUUAAUAUUAAUAAUAACAUUCAAAUAAAACAAUACUCAGUGGAAGUCUGACCUACUGGUAUUUCUUCUUUGUAUAUGUUAAUUUAGUUAAAUAGAGGCUGCAGUUUUGAGAAAGGAGUAAUGGUGUGGAAGGAGGUGCUUAAUGAUUUUGUGCCAGUGGCUGUUUCCAUACACAAACCCCAUUUUUUAAGCUGCUCUCCCCUGCUCAUACUCUGCAGGGGUAUGCGCCAGUGUGGUUCAUCAGGGCAGGCUGGUUGCCUGAAGGUCUUACCCCAUGCUGACUCACAGUAAAAUAACCCGACCAAGGGCCAAAUGAAACGCUACACAAACAUGUAACAAAUUCCCUAUGCAUUUUUUGUUUGUUUUAGAAAAAGUGGUAAACAACUGUGGGAGGUUUCCAGUUCGAAUACAUGCGCAAUGUGGAGGGAGAUGCUGCUUUAGUCUUUCUGCUUUUUUCUGCUUUUUUUUAAAUAAAAAAAUAGGCCUGCUCCUCUGCCCGUGAGAGAAAAGAUCCAGGUUUGAGAGGGGAAACUGCCAGAGGGGAAAGGGUUAAGCAGUGACCUCCCCCACCAACAUUCCGUCACUCAAACUGGCAGCCUCCUGUAGCUUCCGUGCAGUUGUAAAAAAAAUAAAAGUUGGGAGACUGUUACAUGAUGUGACUGCUGCGUAACAUAUACUUUAGCCCUGAAAUUGCCGAAAUGCUCACAAGGACUCAUCAUCGUGUCUAGUUCUGCAAAUCCCAUAGUGAGCCCAGAGUUCCAAAAGCAGGGUAGCAAGAGCAGACAAGGAGAAAGCAUGCUCAGAUUUAUGGCGACACUGAGAAACAAGUUGAUGCGACAUUCCUCAUCCUCUCUCUCUCUCUCUCUCUCUCUCUCUCUCUAUCGUGUGUGUGUGUGUGUGUGUGUGUGUGUGUGUGUUGCCAAAGAACUAACUGGUGUCUAUUCUUUGCCAACUUUCACAUACGUCUCUAUCAUACACACGUCUUGAAGGAGAGGUGUUCUAAGGUGGAGAGGUCAAAUACUUCUCAACGACCAGAUUAAAAAGGAAAACAAUUUUAAGAGAGGGGGAGAAAUACCUGUUUUUUAAAAAAAAAAUGAAAGAAAAGAGGAAAAGAAACAGCAUCAAAUAAUAAUAUAAAAACCACCCCCCUUUUUUUUCUUUCUAUCCUGAAUGUAUGCUGGUGCAGUGCUUAGGGGAUUAAUCUCUUAAAAAAUAAGUGCCAUGUGAGUAGACAGGCAGUGAUUAAGGUUUUAACUGAUCAGUCUGCAUCUGACAGUGAACCAGCUAUUAUCUUAACGGAAUCAAACGAACAUUCAGAGCCUCUGCUCAGCCCCAAACAUGAAAGGAGAUGUCAUCCUCUGGCAGUUGGCAAGCCACGAGGGGAGAAAGAAAGGGAGAGAGGGAGGAGGAGGAGGGAAGGCAAAACUAGGAUGAGAAAGAACAGAUGAGUGGGAAAGGUAGAUGGGAAGAGAGAACCUUACAAUAUUGGGUUUUUGGGGUGGAGGACAGGGGCAGCAUCUGUAGGUUGGAAUGAGAGAACCAGAACGCCAAAAGGAAGAGACGCAAGAUGAUGAUGCUGGUGGUGAUUUCUUACCUACCCUUCACCAUCAGGUCUCAGGGCAGAUUGCAACAACUUAAAAAUACAAUAUUAAAAACAAUGCAUAUCACAGUGAAGAAAAUAGAGAAAUAAAUAUCUCAGGUGUCAAAGGCCAGGGUAGCGAUUUUCUCUCUGCUUCACCUGUCAACAGUUCCCAAAUGGCAAAAUCUAACAUUUUCAUUAAUGUAGCAGAGUUUAACGUAUUCUUGGUCCCCCUUUCCCCAGUGGUUUUCUAUUCUUUGAACUAUUCAUAUUUUAAAGUGGGGUAUGUGGAAAGAAAGAGUUUCCCCUUUUUCUUUUACAUUUAUGAAAGCAAAUCCUGGAGGGGAAAGCAAUCUGUAUUUGGCUUUUUGGAAUAAUGACAAUAUUCAAAAGUAACUAUUUUCUUCCUUAAAAAACAAUCAUAGAAAACAGAAGGAGCAUGAAAGUGAAAUGACAAAACAAACAAAACACACUGCGGUACUGCUCUGUAGUUAUAUGCCUUUUGAGCAGCCGUUUCAUAUUCCUAGUGAUUUACCAUUCCCUGGUGAAGUGCAGUGUGGAAAUCCCUGCCUCGGCCUUUCCCACACUCACUGGAACGCCUGCUGCCACAGCCCCCUUUAAACCAGGGAGGUCUGGCACUCUUGAACCUGAGGUCGAAGAUGAGAAGGAAGGAAAGAAUGGCCUUCAGGCCAGGGUAAGAAACCAGGGCAACAGUGCUCUUAAAAGUGAUAAAAGGGCUUUAUCUAGAAGCACUUAAACAAAACCCACAAGGGCCAAGAGCAGAGACUCUGUUGAGUAUCAGCCAUGGCCAUCGGGGAAACCGCAAAUCCUUGACACAAUAUAAAGGCACUUUCUUUAUACUGAGCAAUUGGGGAAAACAGAACUGGCUGCCGUGGGGUCAGACAGGCUGUGGCAAGCUAUCACUGGCCUCCUUACCUUGGCUGUGAGCUUCUAAUUCACACUUAGCAACAAUAGUGGAGUCUGGAGGGCAGGAGUCAAUGGGCAUUGUUAGCAGAGCUGCAGAUGUGCAGCAGAAUGGCAAGAGUCAACACAACUCCAGUUAUUACCUCUUUGUUUCCUUGGCUCCUUGUUCGCUACCCGCAUCCGUUUGUUGUCAUGUCUUGUCUUUUAUCUUAACAGCAAGCUCUUCUGUGCAGCAACUAUUUUUGUUCUGUGCCUGGGGCAAUCAAGAGCUAAGCCCCUGUUUGGGUUUCUACAGAUUGCCGAAAAAGGAGACUAUUACUUCUUGGUAAUGAUGAUGAGUAAGUCGCUAGAAGGGCCGUAACUCAGUGACAGAGCAUCUGUUCUUGCUUGCAGAAGGCCCCGGGUUCGAUCCCUGCCAUACCCAGGUAGGGCUGAGAGAGAAUCCAGCCUGAAGGAGUUGCUGACAGACAAUCUAAAUAAUACUGAGCUACAUGGACCCAUGGCCUGACUCUGUUUAAAGCAGCUUCCUAGGUUCUUAAUGACACCUUUGCCUGGGUUACCUGUGAAUUGUGGAUUUCAGUACAGUGGUACCUCAGGUUACAUACGCUUCAGGUUACAGACUCCGCUAACCCAGAAAUAAUGCUUCAGGUUAAGAACUUUGCUUCAGGAUGAGAACAGAAAUUGUGCUCCGGUGGUGCGGCGGCAGCAGGAGGCCCCAUUAGCUAAAGUGGUGCUUCAGGUUAAGAACAGUUUCAGGUUAAGAACGAACCUCCGGAAAGAAUUAAGUACUUAACCCGAGUUACCACUGUAGAUCUAUGUGAGUCUAUGGCACAGGGCCUUGAAAGAGUUCGCAUUCCAAACUUCUUUAUAUAACUCAUUUGGGGCAAAUUUAAAAUGUCAGCACUAUUUGGCCAGUUCCUUCUUUCCCAGAGUUGUGUGGAGAUUCUGUGGCAAGGCAGUAUUCUAAAACCUUCAUGUAAAUGGCAGGUGUCUCAGUUGAGAACAUGUGGGAACCCACUAGCUUAGCCAUGGAAGGUUCUGAAGUAACGACAAACCACAUUUUGUGUUCCAGACAUACUGGUAAACCAUAGUUUGUGGGAUUUUCUUUCUCUCCCACCUUUCCUAAGGGCCAAGCUACAUGUUACACUGAAUACUCUGUUUUAAAAUGUGUGUAAGACCCGCCAGUUUUCUUUUUUAAUGAAAAGCAGCUGCCCUGCCCUGAGCCAGUUCAAGACCAUGAUGCAGGAGAGCAGAUUUAACGCUGUGCAUUUUUAAAAAUCAGAAAAACCACCCUUCCAGAGCUGCUAAAUACCCCCAAGGGACCAGCUUACUGCUCAUUCAGAGACAACAGACAAAAACAAAUUCUGGGGGCAACCACUGAGACUUUAUUUCCCCCUUUAUGGGGAAAAUAGCAAUUUCAGGCAGUAGUUUUUGUAUGCCAUGUUGUGAUGUUUAUAUUAAAAGAUGGUAUAAAAAGUAGUUUUAAUAAUAAAUGAGUAAAUAAUAGUUUUGAUAGGAAAAAACAUGGGGGAAAGACCAGUGCUGUUGUUUUAGUUCAGAUCAGAGUCUGACUUGACCCUUUUUUUGUUGUUUUUUAAGAAAGAGAAGUGCAUUUAUUUUAAUAUAAAUGCAACUUAGUCCUGAAACUUCCCAGAUGCUAUCCUAAACAAUGGCAAUGUUCCAAAUGAUGCUUGGUACAGAUGUAACACCAAACCAAAAUUUGCCCCCCCCCCCCCCCAGCUUCAAACUAGUUUCAGAUCCUGAUUUGGUGGCCACUCAGAAAAUGUGGUUUGUUGGAUGAUGUUGGUUUGGGCAUCACAACAAACCAUGUUUUCACAUUAUGUCCGAAUCGCCUCUCUACUGAAGGCUCAUGGUAUGUAAAAUAGUUGAAUGUGCUAUAUCAGAGCUAUCUUUGCCUACGAUAUGCACACUCAUUUCUUUAAUCCUGCUAACCCCUCUGAGUGAACAGGUUUUGCAGGUUUCCCAAGUACUGUAAAAAUGUGCAAAACCUUUUUGAUUAAUGAUGGAUGUACACACAACGAGCAACUGAUGGCUCUAUCAUGCCACUUUAUGGGGGGGGGGGGGAGAUGAUCUGUCUCUCUUCUAAGGCUGCCUCCGCCACUCCCUAGAAAUAAUCUCCAGUGUUUGUGCUAAGGAAAAUGGUAGUCUUUCUUCCAUCACUUUGGUGGGUAACAUAAUUUUCAUUGCAGCUGCUCUGAACUUUGGGCAUCCCCAUACGCAAGCAUUAUAAAUCGCACCAUGCUGAAAAUAUUUAAGAGCUGGGAGGAUAUGAAUUUUGCUUCUGUGUAGAGUGGGAUGCCAGGCUGUUAUUCCUAACUGCUCUCCCUUCUGACUCUGUCUGCCCAGCUCUGCUAUGCCAGGAGGGUCCUCAGUACUGCCAGGGUCAUGACUGCCCCAUUACAGGGCAAGAUUUAUCAUUAGCAGGUGUGCUGCAGGAUGGUAUAUUAUCCAGGAUUAUGAACUGUAACAGGAUAAUCUCUCUAAUGUAAUUCAAGCUCUCGACAUGGCUUAUGGCUCCUUAAUGUACCUCAGACUGAAGAAUUACAAGAACAUUCUUCCCCCUCCCUACCUUGUCAGCUCCUAAAUGAUUUAGGCAAUCGCCUGAAGCCAUAUCUUGGCCUCCAGUCAUAACUCAGCACCAUUCAGUAAAUAUGAUGGGGAAGGAGUUUUCUCUGCCUUGCUCUCUUCCCCCGUCUCCACUGUCUUUGCUCUUUACCUGCCUUAAGGGGGAGCCAGGAUGUAUCCUAAUAUCAUGUACCUGCCUUGCUGUGAUUUUUGCUCAAUUUUUAUUUCGUACAUCUCGCCUUUGCAGUACUCAAGUGGCUGUCACUCAAACCUUUGAAUGAAGGUCAAAUUGUCCCCAACAUAUUGUCCUAGAAGCCUUAGCUCUGAUACAUCGUCACUAAGCAAUUGUCACUGUGCAACAGUUAAGCUAGAGACAAAGAGCACCUGUCCUUCAGUGUACUUACAGAGCUGGUGUGCCAUUUAGUUACUGGGCAUCUUAGGUAACUGGGCAUCCAAUGCGCCCAUGCCAUGUGUUCAGGGAUUAAUAAGAAAGAUUUCUGUCGGUGAUCUGGGACAUAGCAAGUAAGUCAACAGAAGAGGGAAUAAAAAAUAGGUAUACUGGCAUUUGGAAUUCACUCCAAGAAUCCUUAUUAGUGGUAAGUUAGAAAAUAAUUUCAGGUUUUCUUAUUUUGCUGUAAGCAUCUUUGGAUUUUGAGAAUAUGCUGAAUAAGCAUUAUUUAUCAUUAUCAUUAGAAUUCCACUCUUUAUCCAGUGAACUCUAGGCAAUAUAAAUGGGGCUAUCUAUCCUACAAUAACCACAUAAAGUAAGUUUGUCUGAGGGCCAGAUUAGACACGACACCAAUGGAAAUUCUCUUUCCAAUACAAAUAGCAGGGGAGGAAUCUGGAACACCCCCUUCCUUCAGAGCUGCUACUUGCUACACGAAAAGUAAGAAUGCAACUGCCAGUUGCAUGAUUAUUGUCACAUCUAAUAAUGACUCUGAGAAACAGGAUGAACGAAAUAAAACUUUUAGCAUUUACAAGAGAACAAAGCAAGCCUUCAGCUCUGUUGGUUUGAUAACACCUGGUAUAGUUUUCUCUCGUUAUGUUUGGUGAAAUGUGCACAAGCUUAUGGACCUUGGGCAGCUUAAAAUAAGCUUUUCUGGAGGUUGGAUGUCAGAAUUAAGAGUGUAUGUUUGAAAGAUUUUGUUAAACAUGUGUAGUAUUUUAUUUUGCAGCUUUGCAAGACAGAAUUAAACAUGAUUUAAGAGCAUAUAUGGUAUCUUACGAUUAUAGAAAUCUUAUUUCACAGUGUCUCAUUGCCACAGAAAGUACAGUGGUACCUCGGGUUACAUACGCUUCAGGUUACAUACUCUUCAGGUUACAGAAAUAGGACCUUGGGUUAAGAACUUUGCUUCAGAAAGAGAACAGAAAUUGUGCUCCGGUGGCGUGGCAGCAGCAGGAGGCCCCAUUAGCUAAAGUAGUGCUUCAGGUUAAGAACAGUUUCAGGUUAAGAACAGACCUCCAGAACAAAUUAAGUACUUAACCCGAGGUACCACUGUAUUUGAUAAAACAAAUCCCUGUCACCCAUUGGAGUUGGAGAUUCUGCUACUAGUUUCUGGUGAAGUUUGAAGUUCCCGUGUGCUGAUUGCCACCAAAUCACUUACACAGGUAUGGUACCAUUGAUGGGUAGGUACCCUGCGUGCUGGGUACCCACACAAGCAAACCAGCCCCCAGAGAAUGAGAGUCAAAUUCAGUGUGAGGAAUGUUCCCCCUGGCAUCCCGUCCCAUUGGAAGAUUCUGAUGGAGACCACAGUAAAGGCAAAGGAUUAUUAAAACUAACCCUGGCCCCCACACCACUGUCUCAAGAGGGCUUCCCCACUCCAAACUGGCUGUCAUAGCGUCAUAGAAUUGUAUUGAUAGAAUAAAAAUAAAUGGCUGCAAAGGCAAACUAUUUGACAAACCACAUAAUGCCCAGUUUGGCCUUCAAGCACCCAGUGAAACACAAAUAAACAGAGUGCUGGUGGAUCCCGUUUCCCUGACUGAGGGAGGUCCUGCUUUUUUGGUUGAAAGAAAAAUGGUGGGAAUCAGGGAAUUGAGAGAGGGAGAAAGAAGGAAGAGAAGGGGGAAAUGGGGAGAUGAUCUGCAAGAACUAGUUCAAAGAGAACCAAAACAUUAGAUUGAAAAAAAGGAUAAAACGUUUGCCAUUGUUUAAAGGGGGGCAGACAGGCCAAAGGAUGAGAGGUGCCUAUGAAUGUCUGAGCAGGAGCGAGAGGAGCACAGCGAAAAAGCAAAGAGUGUCCUCUUGAAUUCUAGACGCUGCGCAAGUCUUGUUGAAGCAUGACGCCCUCUCUGAUCCCCUGACUGCAGGCCGGCACACCAUCCAGUGAAAUUUAGGCAGCUGUAUUUACUGUUGCUAUUUGUUGUUGCCCUGGCAGCUCCUGGGGAUGUGAAUUUUCUGUGUCACUGACUGAGAGGAUUCUGAGCAGGUUUUCUGAUGAUGUGUUUUUUGUAAAACAAAGAGUUUUACAAGGGGGAGAGCGAAAAGAAAGGAGCCUCUGGCUGAUGCCCUUAACUCUUUAGCUGCUGCAGUGCUGUGGCUGGAAUGGAAACACCAGUUAAAUUAGCUGAGAGCCCUUUAUGGGUCCAGGCUCCAGUUGCAAACAAUAAAAAUGGUAUUAGAAGCAGAAUGAUAACCCCUAACUCUUCACCAGAAUGGUGUUUUAAAGUUCUACUCAAGAUUCUUAUUUUACCACUGUUUUUUGUUUAUGUAGGUUUGCAUCCCCAAAUCUCAGGGUUGAUUACUUUUUUUUUGUAUAAUAUUUUUAUUAAUUUUCACAAAAACAUUUCAUUAAAAAAGCAUAAAAUAAAACAUUUGGAACAACUAUAUACACAAUCAGUAUUGAAUCCACAGUAAGGGAUUACUUGAAUGACUUUAAAAAUGGAAUAGUCAAACAGGACAGUUCCAAGAAGGGAGAUGGAAACUGACUUUGUGAAAAUGCGGUUUACAGAACAGAACAGGGCCAGUCCUACUUUAGGCAGGAAGAGAUAAUCUCCUUUAUUGAAGGGUGACAGCUCAGUGGCGGGGCAUCUGCCUUGCAUGCAGAAGGACCCAGGUUCAACCCUCAGCAUCUCUCAAGUAGGGCUGGGAAUAUUUCCUGUCUGAAAUCAUGGACAGCCACUUCCAGUCAGUGUAGACAAAACUGACCUAGAUGAAGCAAUGGUCUGACUCCGUAUAAGGCAGCUUCCUGUGCUCCUGUAACUCAGAUAGUGGAUUUGGGGUAUGAUUAAAAGGCAGCAAUUUGCCAACUAUUUAGUGUUCUGUUAUAUGUUGUUGCAAUGGACACCAUUGGUAUUGUCUGCCUCAACCACCAAAACAUAACAGGACAGUACAGAGAGCUCAUAUGAGUAAUCUUCCUGGAUAUAUGCUGCACCCGGGAGCAGCUCAAAAUUAUCAGUAAUUUUAAUUUAUACAGUGGUACCUCGGGUUACAUACGCUUCAGGUUACAUACGCUUCAGGUUACACACUCCGCUAACCCAGAAAUACUGCUUCAGGUUAAAUACUUUGCUUCAGGAUAAGAACAGAAAUCGUGCUCUGGCGGCACGGCAGCAGCAGGAGGCCCCAUUAGCUAAAGUGGUGCUUCAGGUUAAGAACAGUUUCAGGUUAAGAACGGACUUCCGGAACGAAUUAAGUACUUAACCUGAGGUACCACUGUAUAUAUUUUUUAUGUAAGCCACCUAGAUAUUUUGACAACUAAAUGGUAUAUAAAUUUUACUUUUUAAAAUUAAAAAGGCUGCCAUUGAUUUAUCUUCUUUUCUUUCUCCAUUUAGUUCAAGGAAGCCAUUUAUUUCCUCCCUAGAAACAUUGAAGAACAUAAUCCAAAACCCUUCAUUACAAACCCCUUAUGUUUCAGCCAAGGUUGUGUCCAUAUGAGCUGAAUUGGUUCCAUGAACUGGUUACCUAAGCCGUCCACUUGUGGAAUGUGCCAUUCAUUGACAUGCAGUUGAGUCAGGAUCCCCACUACAGACUAUCAUAAUGACCGGUGCCAUCCCUGUGAAUAUGAGAUUAAGUAGUGAUGGCAUCAAGCAGUAUUUUGCUGCAAGGUUCCAUAGAAGCAAAGUGCCCUAAGAUUCUUUGUUCUAUUUUGUCAGCACUUCCACAGCAAAAAGUUCAGAUAGGGAAAUGGCUACUUUCACCAGUUCAAUAUCUUCAGUCAAAGGUAUAAAACCAUGCUAAAUCCAUUGUAUGCUAAAGGAUUUUAGUACAUAUUUCUGAUAGCUUUCUUUACCAGUGGUUUAUAGUUAUUUCUGUUGGACAUUGAAGAAAAUAACUUAAGAUGUUUGGCUAGCUUCUAUGUGUCUUGCCCCCAAAGGUUAUGGAAUUAUUGUUUACCAGAUCCAUUUAUUGCAAUUAAAUAUUAUUUGAUGAAUAUGGGAAGCAUCAUUGGACACGUUCCUCAUGGUUAAGCCGUCUUGCUAGAUACUCUGGGCCAAGGUUGGUAAACUUCCAUGGAGAUUCUACAACAUAUCUUUCCAUUUAAAUUGAGGCUGGCCAAUUAUUUAACCCAAAGUAUGAUGAAAUUAAACCCCUAUCAACCUUCCCUGACAGGUAAUAAUAACCCUAUUACCUGUAUCUAACUAUGAGUUCACUCCAUUAACUUCUUUCAACUCAUCACUACCCCAGCAAUUCCCCUUCAUGCACUCAUUCCACCUUUUCCUAAAGGAUAGCUCUUUUAAAGCUCAAUGCAUCAAAUCCAAUAAUUGCCAGCUCAUAUUAAUACAACCACCAAAGAAGCCACAAAAGUUCUUUUUCUUUUAGCAUUGUAUGGGAUUCCAAAACUAGUGCACUAACAACUUUUGUUGGCCAAUUAUUUGAUGGUGAGCAUAAUUUGUUCUAAAUGCCUGCUUUUUUUGAAGUGCACUCAAAAUUAUGCCCCAGAUACAGACUCACAAGGUUUCAAUUUAUUGGGUACCACACCCAGAUUGACACACAAUACUUCAAGAUGCAAUGCAACAGAGCUGAAUGCCUUGAAAAAGGUGAUAUAUAAAUAAAUUAAUAACAAAUAAACCAGUGAUUUACACACAUUGCAGUAUGGAAACAAUAACUUCUGUUCCAAAUGUGGACAGGACUAAAAUUCAGUUUCACUGGUUCCAAUGGGGAGGUAUUUAGCAUAUACUUAGCUCUCCCAUUGGAAUAAGUGGGGCUUAAAAGCUCAGGAGUUGCACAACCCUCAGUUUGGGUGUCUGAUCCAGCCCCCCAGCAAUUUUUUCUGCCCCCCAAUGAAGGGUGAAAAAUGUGGCGGGGAGGAAUAAAAAUGGUCUCCUUCCUGGUCAUGAUGUAUGGCAACAACCCAUGUUGGAGGAAUCAUUUUUGCCGAUUUUCCUCAACAACUUUUUUGUCCAGAUUUUCACUUUUUGGAACACGGCAACCCUAAAAUAUAUACCAGUAGUAAUGCUAAAUAUAAAUUAAAUAAAUGUUAAAUGUAUUUGCCUAUAGGAACUAUACACACACAAACACCCCCCCCCCACACCUCAAUCCUUUGGAAAACUAGGAUAUAUAUGUUGCACAAGGUUGUGUGUGCUGACAACGUAACUGGAAAGUUAGACUACUGUGUCUAAAAAUGGGUUUCGCUUGGCUAAAGCAUCUCGCGGUCAUUAUUGUAUUCAUACUUCCUAAACUUGAUUAUUGUAAUGCUCAUUUGCCUUGACUCCACUUGAACUAUAAUGGAAGAUCAAAGAGGUUUGAGAACAUCUUUUAAGCCAACUUCCCGGGUAAGCCAACAGCUGCUGAGGAGCAUCUGGUUCAGGACCACUUAUCCCUUAGGGAUGAUGAUCUAUGUUCUCAGAGUGAUGAUAGGACAGAAAUUGACAAAAGCCAUAGAGAGACUUGAGAGCCAGUCUAUUAUAUUUGAAAGUAACAUUUCAAGAGGACAUAUAUAGGUUAUUAUAAGUAAAUGCCAGAAGUCUCAAAGCAAACUAGAGUGCAUUUUACUACAUAUACUCAAAGGUAGUAAGAGGAAUAUAAUAUUGGCGAAUAAGUUACUGUUAUUUUUAUAAUUCAAAUCUGUAUAAAGGACAGAGUAGAUUGAACAUAGAAAUGGUGUUGCUUUAUAUGUGAAGUGGGCAUAGCUUCUAACGAGAUCUUAAAAGAAACACACUUGUCCACAGAACCAGCAUAGGUUCUGCCUAUUCCAGACCAAAAAAAGCAACACAGAAGCAAGAUAUACUAAGUCCCACAUCGUGAACAAAACAAUGAUGGUAACCUUUAGUUGCAAAGAAAGGAAGGAAGCAGCCUAAGUAGAAAAAGUAAUAAAAGUGGAUGGCCUCAGAUUCAGUGCUGGAUUUAUGUAUAAACUAAACAAGCUAUAGCUUAGGGCCUCACUCUCUUGGGGCCCCAAUUUUUUUUAAUGAAAACAACAACUGGAUGUACAUUUCCAAAAUAUAAGAUAAAAAACAAAUAAAAUAAAACCUACAUACAGCAACAGUGUUUUGUGUUGUGUAGGCUCCUAUGAUGUAGGUAAUGGGCCCCACCUGCUAGCCUGCUCCCUAAAACAUCACUGGUUUGCUCAUUUCUAUAUACUAUAGGGUGCCUACAUUCUGCAUGGACUGGUUGCAUGACAACAUGUGCAAAUGGCUUUCGAUACCUGUUAGGUCCAUAAAUUACCAUAUAGCAUAUAUUCAACACAUAAAACAGUGACAAUUUGUUGUUGACAAAGGACAGCUGGACAUAUAAAGGGCCCCAUUACCUUCAGUAGCUUAAGUCCUCAUCAAAUGUAUAUCCGGCCCUGCUCAGAUUGACUGGAUCAACGUACACAUGAGUUAUGACAAGUAGACAAAAUCUCUAGAGAGAAUAAAUUGUUCUGCUUUCAAAAAGUUCCUUGUGAAAGCACAAAAAUGUAAACUGUAGUUGGGAUUUAAUUCUAGCCAAUGUCUACAAUCUAAUGGAAACUGUAAGUAUUAGAUUUAUUGGAAAUAGCGAUAACAUAUAUGUGGAUGAGAAAGUGCCCAGAAAGUAGGGAUGGGCUGAUCGGUCGAUUUCUAGUCUAUGUAAUUUUCACAUGUGCUUAUUUGUAAAUCCAUUCCAUUCCAUUUCCACAUUAAUUUGUAGUUGUUGAUUUUUUAAGCCCAUACAUACAUUCCUUUGUGAUUUCAAAUACAUAUAUUAUUUUAUUUAUAUUCCACUUUUCCUUCAAGGAGCUCAAAGUGGUGUGCUUGUUUCCCCCUUUCCCCCCUUUUCUCCUCAUAACAGUCCUGGGAAGUAGGCUAGGCUGAAAGACAAUGAUGGGCCCAAGGUCACCUAGUGAGCUUCAUGGCUCAGCGGGAAUUUGAACUCAGGCUUUUCAGGCCCUAUUUCCAAAAGCCUAAGCACAACACCACAAAAUACUUAUUUAAAUAUGUAUUCUAUCUCAAUGUACACAUUUUAAAUGUAUUUUAUCCUAAAAUUUACAUUUUAAAUUAAUCUUGGUGUUGUUAUUUUUGAGCUGAUAACUAUUAUCACAAAAUUUAGAGAAGUGCAAAAUCUUAAGAAUAAUUACAUUACCAUCAGUGUAUUAGUCUGGGAGGUGCAAAUUAGGUUUGUUCACUUAAAAAAAUGCAGACCAAACAUCAUUUUCAUCAAUUCCUUUCAGAAAGUCCAUCGCAACAGUUAAAACGUGAAUAUUUUAAUAUUUCUUUAACAUGGUAGGAUUUGUUAAAAUGAAGCUGAAAGCUACAAUUGGGAGGGGUCAAUCCAUGAGAAAACUUGGAAGUUAUUAAACUACAAUACAGGCUCAAGUAAAAUGUGUGCCUCACAUUAGAAAAGGUACAAACAAGUGUAGAAGGAUGCUAGCAUGGCUAAAUAGUAAGGAAGGAGGCUAUGAAAACCAAGGCGGCUUUCUUUAAGAAAUGGAAGUCUGUUCUAAAUGAAGAAAAUAAAAAAGAGCAUACAGACUCUGGCAAAUCUAAAUCUAAAAUAAGUCAAGUUGAGGUACAAGCUGCUAAAGAUGUUGCCAAAGUUUACCUGGCUUGGAAUAUGAAUUUUUCCAGAUCCCUAUGCUCAGCUGCAUUAUGAAUCAAGCACUAUCAUAGUAACUCUUUCAAGCCUCUGCUACACCUGCUCUGGUCUCCUACUGCCACAAUUUUUGCUCCUCCUCCUCCUUUGUCUUCUUUUGCUUCUCUACAGUAAUCACAUUUCCUUCCAACUGAAAGGGGCUAAGAGCUUUUUUCAAAACAGACAAUGCACAUAGUAAUAAUUUAAUUUUGAAUAGCAAAGUGAUAAAGGAAGUAGUGAAGCUAGUAAGGCUGUACCCCAUGUCUUCAGGGAGUCCUGAGAAUUUCUUGCGGUACAGCAGGGCAGCAGCUGAAGAAGGAGCAAAAAGGGUUUUCUUGUGUGUGUGUUUCUUUGUGGCUGAUUAGCUGCUCUCCCUAUGCAAAUGUCAGAGGGGGCAGGGUUUCUGUUGAGGCAGGUGAUUAGCUGUGGGAGGAGCUUAUCAUAGCUUGCUGGGGAGCGGCGCACGCAGUUUGAUCCAUCUUUUAGAUUUAGGGGAGCUAGUCUCAAACGUUUGUUGGGGGAGACCUUGGCUUUUUUGGGGGGGGGAGUUAUUUGUCCUGUCUUCACGCUUUUUAUGAUGGAGGACCGCUGUAGCCACCCCCAACGACACGUUCUCAAGAUGGAGGGGGAGGGAACAGCUGCAGUCGCCUGCGGUUCCUGCGCAAUGUUUGCCAUCUUGCCAAAGGUUGCAGGCAGCUUUACCUGCAGCAAUUGCAUGUUGAUUGCCCUCUUAGAAGACAAAGUCCAGCAACUGGAGGAACGUGUAGCUACGCUCCAAAGAAUUAGAGAGCUGGAGCUCUUCUUGGAAGCAACAGAGCACACCGUCUCCAUCAAGGAGGAGACAGGGGACUCCCCUGAGAAGGAGGCUAGUUCACCAACACAGGAGCCAGAUAUAUGGAGAAACGUGACUCAAAGAAGUAGGAGGCCCAGGGUUCGCUCUGAUUGUUUAGAAAUACACAAUCGCUUUGAGGUCCUCUCCCCUAGCAUGGAAGACGAAGAGCAGACUCCAUUUGAGGAUCUCUUCCCUCAUUACAGUCGAUCAGGUAUAUGAAGACAAGCAGCGAAGUCAGUCCUCAGGGAAUGUGCAGGCGACCUUGGAACGGACAGCUCAUGGAAGAACCCCGACCAAACCUAAGAGGAGGCGUGUAGUGGUGAUAGGGGAUUCCCUACUGAGGGGAACAGAAGCAGUGAUCUGUGGGCCUGACAAGAUGUCUCAGGAAGUGUGCUGUCUCCCGGGGCUAAGAUCCAAGAUGUAACUGAACGACUGCAAGGAAUCAUAAAACCCACUGACAAAUACCCCUUCCUCUUGGUUCAUGUGGGAACCAAUGACACUGCAAGCAAUAGCCUCCAGAAGAUCAAAAGAGACUACGAGGCUCUGGGCAGGAAAUUGAAGCAAUUAAAUGCACAAAUUGUCAUCUCAUCUGUCCUCCCAGUUGAACGACGUGGCCCAAGGAGAGAGGGAAAAAUAGUGGAAGUGAACAGCUGGCUUCGCAAAUGGUGUAAACAGGAACGGUUUGGAUUCUUAGAUCACGGACUGCAGUUUCUUGAAGAUGGACUUCUGGCAAGCGAUGGGCUGCACCUCACAACGGUUGGGAGGAAUUUUUUGCCAAAAAUCUCAGAAACCUCAUCAGGAGAGCUUUAAACUGACUAAUGUGGGGGAGGGAGACAGUGCUCCUGAAGGUAGGAGUCUAUCAAUUGAUGAAGAUGAUCAUCCAAAUGUCAUAGACCAAAUGGAGCAAACAGCACGCAGACCUAGUGGUGGGAGGAAAAAUCCUUAAAUAAGAGACACGGGGAAUGAUUAAUGGACUUCAAUGUCUGUACACUAAUGCGCAAAGCAUGGGAAAUAAACAAGAUGAGCUUGAGCUCUUGGUACAGCAAACUAAAUAUGACAUAAUAGGCAUCACUGAAACCUGGUGGGAUAAGUCCCACGAUUGGAAUGUAAUAAUGGAGGGAUACAAUCUAUUUCAGAGAAACAGACCAGACAAGAAAGGAGGAGGAGUGGCGUUAUAUGUCAGGGAUGUGUAUACCUGUGAAGAGAUCCAAGAUUUAGAACCUCAAAGCCAAAGUGAGAGCAUUUGGGUCAAAAUUAAGGGAGAGAAGAAUAACAGUGACCUCAUUGUGGGAGUUUACUAUAGAUCCCCAAGCCAAACGGAGGACAUAGAUGAUGCCUUCCUGGAACAGAUGGCCAAGCAUGCAAAAGGAAGGAGAUAGUAGUAAUGGGGGACUUCAAUUACCCGGAUAUUUGUUGGAUGUCAAACUCAGCCAAGAGCAUAAGGUCAAACAGAUUCCUCACUGGCCUUGCAGACAACUUCAUUGCCCAGAAAGUGGGAGAAGCAACAAGAGGAACAGCCAUUUUAGAUCUGGUCCUAACCAAUGUUGAUGGCCUGGUUAGUGGGGUAGAAGUGGAAGGAUCAUUAGGCGCGAGUGAUCAUGCUCUUCUGAAGUUUACUAUACAGCGGAAAGAAGCAGCCAAGCAUACUAGGACUCAAUUUCUUGACUUUAAGAAAGCCGACUUCAUAAAACUUAGGGAAGUGCUGGGUGAGAUCCCAUGGACAGUAAUACUAAAAGGAAAGGGAGUUCAUGAUGGCUGGGAGUUUGUUAAGAGGGAGAUAGUAAAAGCACAACUUCAGGCAAUACCAAUGAGACGGAAACAUGGAAGGUGCCUAAAGAAGCCAGGGUGGCUAUCUAAAGAACUUUUAACUGAGUUAAGAUUUAAAAAGGAUGUGUACAAAAAAUGGAAAAGGGGGGAAACCACCAAAGAGGAAUUCAAACAAAUAGCCAGCACGUGUAGACACAAAGUCAGAAAAGCUAAAGCACAGAAUGAACUCAGGCUUGCUAGAGAGGUUAAAAGCAACAAAAAAGGCUUUUAUGGGUAUGUUCGUAGCAAAAGGAAGAACAAAGAAACAGUGGGGUCACUCAGAGGAGAAGAUGGUGAAAUGCAAACAGGGGACACAGAAAGGGCUGAACUCCUCAAUGCCUUCUUUGCCUCAGUCUUCUCGAUAAAGAAAACAAUGCCCGACCUGAAGAAUUUGGAGCAAAUGAUUCAGCAGAGGAAACACAGCCCAGAAUAACUAAGGAGAUAGUACAAGAAUACUUGGCUAGUCUAGAUGUAUUCAAGUCUCCAGGGCCAGAUGAACUGCAUCCAAGAGUAUUAAAAGAACUGGCAGAUGUGAUCUCAGAACCACUGGCAGUCAUCUAUGAGAAUUCCUGGAGAACAGGCGAAGUCCCGGCAGACUGGAGGAGGGCAAAUGUUGUCCCUAUUUUCAAAAAGGGGGAAAGAGAGGACCCACAUAAUUACCGCCCAGUCAGUCUGACAUCAAUAUCAGGGAAGAUUCUGGAGCAGAUCAGGGAGAAAUGUAAAGUAUUGCACUUCGGCAAAAAAAAUGAGAGGCACAAAUGCAAGAUGGGUGACACCUGGCUUGAGAGCAGUACAUGUGAAAAGGAUCUAGGAGUCUUGGUUGACCACAAACUUGACAUGAGCCAACAGUGUGAUGCGGCAGCUAAAAAAGCCAAUGAAAUUCUGGGCUGCAUCAAUAGGAGUAUAGCAUCUAGAUCAAGGGAAGUAAUAGUGCCACUGUAUUCUGCUCUGGUCAGACCUCACCUGGAGUACUGUGUCCAGUUCUGGGCACCACAGUUCAAGAAGGACACUGACAAACUGGAACGUGUCCAGAGAAGGGCAUCCAAAAUGGUCAAAGGCCUGGAAACGAUGCCUUAUGAGGAACGGCUAAGGGAGCUGGGCAUGUUUAGCCUGGAGAAGAGGAGGUUAAGGGGUGAUAUGAUAGCCAUGUUCAAAUAUAUAAAAGGAUGUCACAUAGAGGAGGGAGAAAGGUUGUUUUCUGCUGCUCCAGAGAAGCGGACACGGAGCGAUGGAUCCAAACUACAAGAAAGAAGAUUCCACCUAAACAUUAGGAAGAACUUCCUGACAGACAGACAGAGCUGUUCGACAGUGGAAUUUGCUGCCAAGGAGUGUGGUGGAGUCUCCUUCUUUGGAGGUCUUUAAGCAGAGGCUUGACAACCAUAUGUCAGGAGUGCUCUGAUGGUGUUUCCUGCUUGGCAGGGGGUUGGACUCGAUGGCCCUUGUGGUCUCUUCCAACUCUAUGAUUCUAUGAUUCUAGUAUAGGGAAUUGGCAAUCCAGGAACUAUGCAACCCAGGAGCAACAGGCAGACAUGUCCUGCAGAAAGGUGGGGUCACCAACCGCUCCUCUGCACUAAGCUGGGCAAUAAGGUUAGGCUUGGAUACAAUGCUAACCUCCGAUUUGGCAUGCUCAUCAUCCCUGCCCAUUGGUCUUGAUGGCUGGGACUGGUGGUGAAUUGUAGUCCAAAAGAUCUGGAGGGCACCAGGUUGGGGAAGGCUGGUUUUGCCUUACAUAUGUGAACCUCAGAACUAUGAUUAGGGCAACAAGCCAGGAUCAGAAACCAGGGUGUUGAAGGUGGCUUGUUUCCCUAAGCCAUCAUUAAGAUGAGUCACGUUUUGUCCAGAAUUGGACAUAAUGGCAAAUUGCAGUUAGAUUAAAAUGUACAAGCCUUGUGUAGAAGCAUCCACCCAGCUGGGAACCCCAAAUGUGCAGGGGUCCUGACUACAUGAAAGCCCAUAUGCAAACAGCUGUUCAAAUGCAGACUUCCUCAGUAAAUAUCUGCACCAAAACAUGUACAUGGGGGGGGCAGCAGUGUGCCCCCAUUUCCUGAUAAUCACAUGGAACAGCCAGUGUGGUGUAGUAGUUAAGAGCAGUAGACUCGUAAUCUGGUGAACCGGCUUUGCGUCUCCGCUCCUCCCCAUGCAGCUGCUGGGUGACCUUGGGCUAGUCACACUUCUUUGAAGUCUCUCAGCCCCACUCACCUCACAGAGUGUUUGUUGUGGAGGAGGAAGGGAAAGGAGAAUGUUAGCUGCUUUGAGACUCCUUCGGGUAGUGAUAAAGCGGGAUAUCAAAUCCAAACUCCUCUUCUUCUUCUUCCGUGUCUUCAUACCAGUCCUCUGCAUUUUUGAAAUGCUCUUCAAGGGCAGCCCCACCUUUACUGUAUUACGGUAAUCUAGCCAGAUGUUUAACUAGAGCAUGGAUAAGUGUGGCCAGCAUCUUCUCUCCAGAAACCCCAAAUCUGCUGCUAAACCCCAAAUCUGCUGCAGAAUUAUGCUUCUUUCUGGAGUGUUGUGACAAUGAGUCCAGUUUGGUUGGCAGAAGGAAGGGUGGGGGAAUCUGUUACAGAGUGCCUAGGAAUAGGAAGGAUUUAAUUACUGUUGGCAGCAGAAGGGGGAUCAGAGACAGGAGAGCUGGGCAGGCGGGAACAUCCAGGUCAGGAAGCUGAGUGGGAAGAAGGCCCAAGAGACAGAAGGGAAGAAGGAAAGGGAAACGAGUCGGCGGCAGUCUGAGAAGCAGGGAGGCAGAGAGGACGGGCGGAGGAGGCAGAGGCUUAAUUGGAAGUUGGUGGAAAAGGGAGCGGUGGAAAAACUAGGGCCUAAGGAGAGGUGUGUCCUGUUGGCAUGAAGGAAACUGACAGGCAAGCAAGACUGCUUGAUGAACUCUGGGCCAGGAAACCAACUGAGCAGGAGGGCAAGAGGCCAGUUUGGGAGGGCUUGGAUUUCAAACACUGGUUUGGGUGAAGUGGCCAGAUUCCAGGCUGCAGGUCUCUGGUUCAAAGCUCCAGUAAAAGCUGCAGAUUAGCCUUUUCCUUGUGAAGCCCCGGCAUGAACUUCUACCUAUUUGAAGGUGGCAAAGAAGCCUCACGCUUACAGCUCUUUCUUCCAGCAGGGCAAGACAGAUGAUAGAAGCCAGCUGGCUUGGUAUAUUACUAACAAAGCAAAUGGCUGGGUUUCAGCUGGCUUAGGCUGAGAGAUCCCACACAGGAGAUCUGAUUUCCCCUCCCCUCAGGCACUUAUGGUGGUUGGUUGCUGUGUUUUGACUCCGCGUCUCCUUUUAGCUCUCUUGCUAAUGUUCUGCCUCAUUCCCUGGAUGCCAUUCAGUUUGCUGCUCGCCUACUUCCUAUUGGGUUGUUAAGAGAAUCUGAGACAUUUGUCAUCAUCACUUGCUUCCUUUCCCUGCUCCAGUUCUGGGAUUUCCCCAGGUAAGGAACUCCCUCUGCUAGCUUAGAACGAAUUCUAGCCAAGAGGGGAGCAGCCUUGGUCUAAAGAUGGCCCUAGACGACGCUGCCAAUAAGCUGGAGGGCAUGCUGCGGACCCAUGGGAGGGACCAGAGGAAUUAUCAGCCUGUCCACUUGGCUUCUGAAGGAGUCGGGAGCUGUCUGAAAAUAGACAGCACAUUGGGGGAGAUCGGCGGUAGGGCCUGUGGGGAAGGUGGCAGCCCAAGAGCAGGCAAACAGGCUGCGUAUAGAGUUCAUCUCUCUGGAGAUCUGGGUUUCUUCUUUCUCAAUGCUUUCACUCAUUUCCUUGAGCUGCAGUCAGAUAUUUAUUUAACCUUGCAACUGAACUGCACCGAGAAUGCCAAGUGCUGGAGCUGCAAGUGCUCUCACUGAUGCUGUGUUUACAUAUCCAGGCAUAAAUUUGUUACUCUCUCACAUGUGUGCACAUAUGCGCAUAUGCGCGCAUGCACACACACACACACACACACACACACUUAGAAAUUCCAUUCACACGCCCCUGCAGAAUAUACACCUUGGCACAACAGCAUAUGCACACAGGAACAGACCGUUAAAAUCAGCAAUCAUUGCGAUUUAACCACAAAAUACCUUCACAGUGGGACCUGUGUAUUAUAUACAUGCAUGCAAGAGUUCCAGUGCAAUUCAUAUACCCACCUGCCUAGUGUUUACAACUGGCUAACAUUUUUAGAAUGAAAAUAUUAAUUUACAGCAAAUUGAUAAGCCUUACAUUUUUUUUAAUGACAAAAUAUCCAGUUCCAACAGUUCACUAGUAGAUCUUUUUUUAAAAAACACACACCAUAUUUUUAUUAAAGAUUUCUUGGUUUACAAAAGUAUGUGCAAUGUCUCUUUUUUCAAGUUACAUUUUCUACAAAUCAGUUUCGUUUGUUGAGACAUUAGUGUUACAUUAGGAAGAAAAGGGGGAAAGAGGUGGAGGGGGGGAUGGUGAGUGUCAGGAGUGCAUGCAGGAGCCAGGCCCUGUGACCAAUAGGACUUUGCAGGACUGGGGCCUUCCUAAGUUUGUUCUGAAGAGGCAAGGCCGCACAGGUGAGGCCAAUUGGUAACUCACAGCACCUGGUGGCAAGAGCUGGGAAGGGAUAUAAGGUCAGCAUUUGCCUUCUCCUCUUUGCCACAGCAACACGUUCCCUGCCUUGCUGCGUUUGGCUCCUUGACUCCUUGCUUCUUGAUCCUUGAUCCUCAGACCCUUGGCUUCUUGACUCCCGGCUCUCUUGACCCUCGGACUUUGGCUUCCUGACUCCUGGCUUCUGGACUCCCGUUCCUGCUCCCACCUCGCCGUCUUGCCCCCGGUCCCGACGUCCCCAGCCAGGACUUCGAUCGCCUGUGAACUGGACCAUGACAGUGAGUGGGGUUGGGGUCGGAUGGCAAUGCUUCUGUUCUGCUUAAUGUAUGUGUAGGGUUUUGUGUCAGUGUCGCUUGUGCAGGUUCUCUUUACUAUUUGCUUGUGUUCCUUUGGUGGUGAGAGAGGUUGGGGUUGGUCUAGGGUGUGGCUGUUUGUUUGUUUGUGAUUGGCUGUGGUGAACUUUGUUUUCAUCUGUGAGUGGGGUGGGUGGGUGUUUUUGUAUCAGGUUAGCCAUAUUGAUUUGUAUGCUGUUGGCAGAUUCUUGUCGUCAUUGUGUUGGGCUGUGUAUGUGAUAUAGGGAAGCCAUACUGGGGUGAAGGCGUCUUCUAUUUGUUCCUGUGUCAGUUUCAGUUUAUUGGUUAGCUUUUCUAAUAAGGCUGUUUCCCAUGCUAUUUGAUACCAUUGGUCCAUGCUGACUCCUGACAGGUCUCUCCAGUGUCUGGCUAUGAUGUUUCUGGCUGCUGAGAGUAGGUGGGUUAUGAACUCUUUACAAUGUGAGCGGGCAUUAUUCUCUUGGAAGAUGUUUAGUAGGGGCUAGUAGAUCUUAAAGACAUGGGGAACUUGCAGGGGAGAAGACUGUCUCUGAGAUACUCAGGAGAAUUCAGACCAUAGAGAGUUUCAAAGGUCACAAUUAGCAUAUUUAAAUUAAGGCUGGACUCUUUAAACUUAAGCUAGUAUAGGCAACAAACACACAUUUAAAACACAUCCCCCCAAAAGAAUCUUGGGAAUGGUAGUUUACUCCUCAGGGAGCUAUGAUUCCUAGCAUCAUAGCCAAUGGGGUUAAUCCGGGGUGUGAUUAUUGCUAAUUGAAAAUGGUUCUCAAGAUUCUUUGGGGUGGGGAGAUGCAUUCUUAAGUGUCUGGUGUGUAACCCUAUAACAAAUGCAGAUGUUUUAGAAUGGGUGUGAUGUGCUCACCAACAGAUAGCAUCACUGUGCACUAGCCGUACUUUCCUAGUCACUUCAAAGUGCAGCCCCACACAGACUGCAUUACAGUAGACUUUAAGGCACAAAUGAUGGUAGCCGUGUAAUUUUCAGCAGUGGGCAUAGUUGGUGAGAUUGGUCAAAGGCUUUCCUGACCACAGUCAAAACCUAAGAUUACAGGGACAAUGCUGAGUCCAGGUGAGUUGCAAUGCUAGGGUUAUGAACCUGCUCCCUUAACUAGAGCCUAAAGGGAGCUCUGUUUUUGACAGUCAUUCCCCUAGCAUUCUGGUCCUCUACCAUCAUCCCCAGCUAUUACUGACAGAUGGGCUGAUGUGCAGAUUAUACUAGUUAUUUGUGCAGCUAGAUAGAAAUCAUGUGAAACAACUAGUAUAGAUAUAUCCAGAGUACAUGCCUUUUAUAAGCAAUAUGGGGUGGGGGAAGCCACCACUGAAUCGCUUGAACUUUGUCCUGCACAUCGCUCUAUAAAACCCCAUGAAACAUUAGGAUCAAAAUGUGAUUUUCCUGGAAGGAGACCCAUCUCUUACUAAAUCAACCAGACUGUUCUCUGAGGCAAAGGAGUCAGCGCUGACUCACGAGGGAAAGUGUCUUGCACAAUCAUGACAAUACUUCCCUUAGCAGCAAGAACUUGCAUUUGACUUCAAACAGCUUUCACCUGCAAGAGCCAAAAACAAACAAUUGAGAUUUACUGGGUGGAGGCCACCAGAACAUUCUCCACCCUGUCUGAUGCUCUAAGAAAAAAAUCUCCCCUCAAAGAGCUCAGAAGAGCCAGAUGUAAACAGCAGCUUCCAAUAACUAGGGAGCGUAGAGUGCCAGUCCAGAAGAAGCUGUUCAGGACUUUAUUUGACAGCUCCCCAAGACCAAAAAAAGAAAAAAACAGACUAGAAGAUGGCGCCACCUGAUGACUUCUACUUUCAGUAGGGAUGAAAGGAUUUGUCAUUUUCAGUUCUCAGUUCCUCAUUUUUCCAAUCUUAAAAUCAGUCUUCCACAUUUCUACAGCAAUUUCUCAUACACACACAAACACACACACCCCGUCAUGAAAAUUAUUCAGCAUUUUAGUGCAAAUUUCUCCUAAUACACAUUUUGUGUGCAGUUUGGACUAAUGCAUGCAUUUUGCAAGCAAUGUCUCUUAAUAUGAUAUUUUUACUAAGAUAUGCAUUUUUGAAAAUAUUUGUUAAACUGCAUUGCAAAUUUAAGAUAUGUGCAAUUUUUGAAGGGUGGCUGUAUUGGUUCUUGCAUUGCUUUAGAAAGUGCCAAUUUGAUAUAGGUAAAGGUAAGGAACCCCUGACCAGUCCAGUCAUGCCCGACUCUGGGGUUGCGGCGCUCAUCUCGCUUUAUUGGCCGAGGGAGCCGGCGUACAGCUUCUGGGUCACGUGGCCAGCAUGACAAAGCCACUUCUGGUGAACUAGAGCAGCGCACGGAAACACUGUUUACCUUCCCGCCGGAGCGGUACCUAUUUAUCUACUUGCACUUUGAGGUGCUUUCGAACUGCUAGGUUGGCAGGAGCAGGGACCGAGCAACGGGAGCUCACCCCGUCGCGGGGAUUCGAACUGCCGACCUUCUGAUCGGCAAGUCCUAGGCUCUGUGGUUUAACUCACAGCGCCACCCGUGUCCCGCCAAUUUGAUAUAUCCGGCUUUAAAUGUGAACCGACUAAAAUAUCUCUGCCUCCCCUAAUCUUCAGUCACAGUUUUGGUGUACAUUUCACAGUUGUGAUAUUCAUGAAACACAGGCAACUCCCAUUUUAGGCACAACCAAUAUGUGUGCAAUCGCACACACAUGCACAGUGCCGAACGUGGAAGUGACCUGGAAAUGUCAUAAAUGGGGGGUUGCCCAUAUUUACAAAAUGAAAUUCAUCAUUUGGCCAAUUUGCCAAUUUGGAUACAAUAAAGGAACUGGAGGCCCCUCGACUCCUCGGGUCCAGUAUUGGACCACUUCAACCGGCUAUCCCCAGCCAAUGUGGACAGACUCCUCCGAGCUGGAAAGCCCACCACCUGUCCUCUCGACCCGUGCCCGUCUUGGCUGAUUAGAGCGUGUCCAGACGAGGUGUGGGCCCUCCUGGGGGAUAUCAUCAUUUUGUCCCUUGGCACGGGACAAUCCCAGGGGAACUGAAGGAGGCAGUGGUGUGCCCGCUCUUAAAGAAAACAUCAUUAGAUCCUUUAGAUCUAUCCAAUUACCGCCCGGUUUCGAAUCUUCCGUUCCUGGGUAAGGUGAUUGAGAGAGCGGUUGCUGAACAGCUUGGUGGGUUUCUGGAUGAAACAUCGGCUCUGGAUCCAUUCCAGUCCGGCUUCCGCGCUGGUCAUGGGACCAAGAUGGCUCUGGUUGCCCUAACAGGUGAUCUUCGUAGACAGCUGGAUCGAGGUGGGUCGGGGCUGCUGAUUCUUCUAGAUCUGUCAGCAGCUUUCGCCAUGGUCGAUCACGAACUUCUGGACCACCGCCUUGCCGACGUGGGGAUCCAGGGCACAGUCCUUCAAUGGCUGCACUCGUUUCUCUCUGGUUGGGGACAGAGGGUGGCGCUUGGGGGGGGGGGAAUUGUCAUCGCCCCACUCCUUGGUGUGUGGAGUACCUCAGGGUGCGAUACUCUCCCCGAUGCUUUUCAACAUCAUUAUGCGCCUCCUCGCCCAGCUUGUCCGGAGUUUUGGGCUGGGUUACCAUCAGUAUGCUGAUGACACCCAACUCUAUCUGUUGAUGGAUGGCCAUCCUGACUCGGCCCCAGACACACUGACCAGAUGUUUGGAAGCUGUGGCUGGAUGGUUACGUGGGAGCCGGUUGAAGCUAAAUCCUUCGAAGACAGAGGUCCUGUGGCUGGGAUGGGACGAUAUGGGAUUGGGGGGGCAACUCCCAUCUCUUGCGGGGGCGCAAUUAGUGCCAGCACCGUCCGUUAAGAGUUUGGGUGUAAUCUUCGACACCUCCCUUUCCAUGGAGGCGCAGAUUGCAGCUACAACAAAGGCGGCAUUUUUCCAUCUGCACCAAGCUAAGCAGUUGGCUCCUUACCUCUCUCGCCCUGACCUAGCCACUGUGAUCCACACGACGGUCACCUCCAGACUGGAUUAUUGUAACUCGCUCUACGUGGGGCUGCCCUUGAGACUGACCCAGAAACUCCAGUGGGUGCAGAAUGCUGCAGCGAGCCAGGGCUUUUUCGGCCGUGGCUCCGAUCUGGUGGAACACUCUGUCACAAGAGACCAGGGCCCUGCGGGAUUUGACAUCUUUCCGCAGGGCCUGCAAGACAGAGCUGUUCCACCAGGCCUUUGGCCAGGGCACAGCCUGACUCCCUCCCUCGGCAAUCUUCGCGGAGCUCUGGCCCAAUGCUUGCCAGUGGCUUGAAUUAAUUAAUUUUAUAAUGAAUGAUUUUAGAGUGUUGUUUGUGCUGUACUUUUGUACUGUUUUAUUGUUGUUAGCCGCCCUGAGCCCGGCUUCGGCUGGGGAGGACGGGAUAUAAAUAAAAUUUAUUAUUAUUAUUAUUAUUAUUAUUAUUUAUUAUCAGACAACUACCAGACAUUACACACUGUGAACUGAACCGAACAUGGCAUUUUGGACAGAUUUAGGGGCCAACUCUGUGGCUAUGUGUGUUUUUUGUGUUGACUUUUCUCCUUUUCUGUUGCUGCCUUCAAAUGCUAGGCGUGGCCAUUUACCUGAAACACUCACCCAGCUGGGUCUUCUUCUGCCCCUGUAACAACCAUACAACAUGAACAAUGGUUGAUUGCAGGACUUGGGAACCAAUAUGACACCCAGCUAAUAGCACCCAAUGAGCCAGAUGUUACACACAAAGAAACAGUGGGAGCCAGUAAAAGUUGGCAACCCCAUUGCCAAUGCAGAAGCCUUGGAAGGAACCUCAGCACAGGAGCCUGAUAAGGGGGGGAAAGGCUGGCAACCCUUAUUUCUGACCUUGUUUCAGCCACAAAAGGCAUGCUACGUUGUAUGUUAAUUCAUGCCCUUCUAGGGUAUGUGAAUUCUUAUUAAUAAUAAUAAUAAUAAUAAUAAAUUUUAUUUAUAUCCCGCCCUCCCCAGCCGAAGCUGGGCUCAGGGCGGCUAACAACAAUUGAAAUAAUCUAACAUUCUAAAAACAUUCAUUAUAAAAUUAAUUAAAAUCAAAUUAAAAUCAAAUUGAUGGCAACCAUUAAGCAAAAUUCUGUGCAGAUUGCCAGGGGAGGGGGUCAGGCUGCGCCCUGACCAAAGGCCUGGUGGAACAGCUCUGUCUUGCAGGCCCUGUGGAAAGAUGUCAGGUCCCGCAGGGCCCUAGUCUCUUGUGACAGAGCGUUCCACCAGAUUGGAGCCGCGGCCGAGAAAGCCCUGGCUCUAGUUGAGGCCAGCCUAACCUCUCUGUGGCCUGGGAUCUUCAGGAUGUUUUCAUUUGCAGACCGUAAAUUUCUCUGUGGGACAUACCAGGAGAGGCGGUCCCGUAGGUACGAGGGUCCUAGGCCGUAUAGGGCUUUAAAGGUUAAAACCAGCACAUUAAACCUGAUCCUGUACUCCACCAGGAGCCAGUGCAGCUGGUAUAGUACCGGAUGAAUAUGAUCUCGCAGCGAAGACCCCAUAAGGAGUCUCGCCGCGGCAUUCUGCACCCGCUGGAGUUUCUGGGUCAGUCUCAAGGGCAGCCCCACGUAGAGCGAGUUACAAUAGUCAAGCCUGGAGGUGACCGUCGCGUGGAUCACAAUGGCUAGGUCAUUAAGGAGGAUGUCCCUUUCUUUUCCCAUUGAGUUUUUCAUUAUCAGUUCCAAAUUUGCCUUUUGAGACAGUUCUAGGCAUAGCCUUCUCAAAAUGUAAUCAAAUUAACCCCAAAAAGGCUUAACAUAUUGCAUUAUGGGUAGUCCAUGUUCAUCAAGCUCCAAAUACCCUUAAUAGACGUAUUAUUUAGACAAUAUUGAUAUGGUAUGGUACCCAACCCUAUCCUUUGUUAGUUCCAGCAUCACCUCUACCUUGGAGUUGGGUGGCUUUCAGUGGCAAAGUAGUGGACAUAAGUCCCAGUUUUUUCUCUUCACUAGAAUAAGCAUAUAGUCUAUGCAGUUGAAGCUACUAUGCCAUGUUACAAGUUCACAGCUGGCAAUAAAUACCAAUGACCCUGACCGACAGGGUUGGAAGAGGCCUUGAAGGACAGCUAGUCCCCUGUUCAGUGCAGGACAGCCACAGGUGAAGCAUUCGUCAGUACUCUGCCUGUACAUCUCCCCCCACAGGGUUUCAGUUUGUAAAUAUGAACCAAACAUCCCGUAUGGUAAGUUCAUAUUUCCUCACAGUGUAGAAUCGGUGAAAAAGCUGAGAAAGAGAGGGAAAGAGUCCUCCACUUUUAAGCACUUUUUGGAAUUUAUGGCACAGGAAGGUUUCAAGCUCUGGACUGUAUAAGCUAUUGAAUUGUGUAGUAACUAUAUGCAAACUUAGUCAAAUGUAAGCCAUAUGUAAGGACUUGGGUUAGGGCAGAGAGGAGUUCUCUGCUAAAUUCCAAUGUUAGCUGCAAAACCAUUUUACUCACCAGUUGCCAUUUCAGCACUGCAAGUAAAUAAUUAUUAUUCCGUUUAAAGCCACAUUGUGACUCAGUUGCAUUCCCUGGUUCCCCCAAGUAACUGUGUACUGUUUCGGGAUGAAGGAGAAAUUAGAUUCAGUUUGCAUUUAAAUAAGAACUUCAAAAUCCGCCCCUCACCAAAUUUUGUAGUUCAGUUCUCCAGCCAAGUAAUCUGCACAGAAAUGCGUAUGUUGGUGUAAAGCAGGGGUAGGUAUAUCUAUACCAGUUGUUUCACAUGAUUUCUUUCUAGCUGCACAAAUAACUAGUAUAAUCUGCACAUCAUCCCAUCUGUCAGUAAUAGCUGGAGAUGAUGGUAGAGGACCAGACUGCCUGUCAAAAACAGGGCUCCCACUGUAAAGCAUGCGUAUAGUUGCAUAUAUCAUACAAAAAUGUAUUAUAAUAGGAAAAUUUGCUUGCAAAAAAAUUGUGGAUUAGGCAAAAGCGCAUAUACAUAUCUGUGUAUUAGGAUAAAUUGGUGCUAAGGUACUGAUUAAUUUUUAUGAGGACUUAAAAAUAGUAAUCAUAAACUGAUGUGGAAAUGUUGUGAACCAAAUUCAAGAUUGGGAAAAUGAGGAAUGAAAAUUGACAUAUUUGCCCAUCUCUAGUAAUGAUACAGUGAAAAAACCUCUGUGACAUGCAGCAAAUUCUGGAUCAGCAAUCCUGAGUAUCCCAUCUCUGCAGUUAUAUGGGUGGGUUCAUACAUGUUUGUGCAACUUGUGAAUUGAGACACGUGUAGGCUUGGUCACAGGCUCCCGUAGGCUUAAGCCAGACUCCGCACUUCAAGAAAGGAGGGAAACAACUUUGAUACAUGCAACUGAAGUAAGCAAAAUUCUAUCCAGGUGUUAAAAAUUUCUUAAAUAGGGAAGGAAUGUUAUUUCCCUUGGGUCCCAGAGCAACAAUAGUGCUUUUAUUUUAACUGCUUUCUGUACCAAGCGGCUGGAUUUUUUCUUUUUUUUUAAAAAAAAGAAAAGCGAUUAUUAUUAUGGAGACUUUUAACAAUCCAUUUGAAGUCAGAGGUGGUCACUUUACAAAGUGUCUGUAGAGAGCAACAUCUGGGGCGAAUGCCUGGUGUGUGAUUAACCCGUGAUUUGCCACAGGGCAAGACUGUACAGAACUGGGUUGCUUAAAUGCUGAGUCCAGCAAAAUAGAUAAGUGGAGCAGAGAAAUGUGAACAUUCUAAUUCAAGGAUCACCAGGCAAAAAGUGGCAUUUCUUCUGAAGGCAACCAGAUUCAUGGCUCCAAGGCGUCCUGAACUUGCCCAGAGGUACUUAUCUCAAGGGGUGAGAGUUGGCACCUCUACCAAUUCCUGGAGGGCAGGAUCUGGGAAUUCCUGGAGGGCAGGAUCUGGGAACAGAUGUACAGAUGUGGCGUGAAGUUCCUCAGAGUGGGGGGAAAUGGGAUAAAAUAUAACAAUGAAAUAUAUGAUAUAUAAAUAUGUAUUUGCACACUGGAAAAUGUUGGGUCACAUAGCACCAUAAUCAAUGCCUGCGAUUCCCUGCUUGAUUUGCCUGUCUCCCAUUAUGAGAGUUAUUCCUAACCAUAAAGUUGGCCAGACCUGUUGUCAGCAGACCUCCCCAAGUGACCUCUAAAAAGCAAGCGUGGAAUGCGGUCUCCAUCGCCCAUUGAAAAGAUUUCUUUUUCUUUUAAGGGGGAAAGGAAGGCUGAGUGGGGCUGAGGGUUGGUGGUAUUUUUCCUGGUGUGGUCCUUGAGGGAAAGGAGUGAGGUCACCAGACUGUUUCUUGGCUCUUGCACCACACCCACAGCCAUGGGAGCUCCUCUUGGCGCAAGGAGCUGGGAUUAAGACACUCUUGUACCCAGCACCACGCCUCUAGGCAAGCUGGCUCUGCUGAGUUUAUGGUUCUUUACCUCCAGAAUGGCCUUCCAGGAAACCUGCUUUCCAGAUUCGGUAUUUCUGGGAACGCAGUCACAUGAUAACAGGCAGUGGAGACUUGUUAAUAGGUCCUUGCUCCAAUUUGCUAACCUGUUCGCUGCCAAAGCUGUUUGACUCCUGUAGAAGGUGAGCUAUGAAUAUGCAGCUCAGUAGCCUGUAGAGAGGGGAGGGUGCCGUUUCCCUGAGACGGUGGGGGAAAGGGACCAAACUGGCAGAGUGCGCAGAAAGCCACGUCUGAGGUUUUUCUCUGUAUGGGUUAAGCUGCGAGCCAAGGGAGCUGUGUUCUAAGGUCAACAAAAGCUGCACCUGCCCACAGGCUCCUGUGUGCAGCAGCACAAUCAAUGGCUUGUUCCUUUCAUAAGUGCCGUUGGAGCGCGAUGCCCAGGCCCUGAGCCAACCUGCUGAUCACAUAAAAUAUUAUUUGUGUUAAAAAAAUUCCAGUAAUUGACUAUGCACCGUUUUUUCCCCGAGCCCUCUGCCAACAGCAGUAAAAUCAAAAUCCGUCCCAGGUUAUUUUCAUCAUGCAAAUUCCCAUUUCUGUAAACAGGGCUAAUAAGUGGCAAAGCCUGCUGCUCCCAGCAGCUGGGAGGCUCUCUGCCAGGCUAGCGAACAGCACAUGGCAGAAAGCUCAUUGAAUCACACACGAGAGUGGCAUGAAUGGAGCCGGCAGAGAGGAGAUGGGAUGUAGAGGAGGAGGAGGAGCCAGGAUGUAUCACACUGCUGUGUUUUACAGGCUACAAAGUUUCUGUUAGGGCUGCAUAGAGAACACAAUGCAUACAGCAGGGAUUCUAGACCUCAUGACUGAAGAGAAAAGACUGAAUAUAGACUUGAGCUUAGUUCAAAUGAAAAUGUGCUGCUGAGAGAUCAAUGUUUAAUCUUGCAACAUGCAUUUGUGUGAAAUGCAGAGUCGGGGUUGCAAAUGCUAUUGGCUUGGUAUAGGGCUUCUGACUAUGUUGGCUGGAGUCCUGCUGUGGGGUUGUGAUACCACAGGGUCUGUUGUUUGCUGAUCAUGUUAUGCUACCUUUUUUUUUAAAUGUGCAUUUCAUAUGUGGAACUCAUUGCACCCAUAUCCCUAAAUUUAAUUUAAGAGAAAAUAUUAGUCAGAUUGAAGAAAGAUUUAAGCAGUUCAUAAUAGACAAUGAUGUUUCAUCACUUGGGAUAUAUACAAGCAAGACAGUAUUUGAGCCCACUCAUGGUAUUCUGUUCAAACUAUUCAUUUUAUCCCCUCCAGGGCUGAACUUGGGAAAAACCACUUUUGAGACUUUGCACCAAAAGCCGGCAAGGCACAGCCCUGGUUGGCUUGCACCUGUGAUGUCACUAACACACUAACACACUGCAUCUCAGCUAAAUUUUACAACUCUUUAAAAUCUGAUAGUCUUCCUCCAUUCCCCUCAAAAAAGUAUGUAAAAUUUAAAAAAUUAACAUUUAAAUUAAUGAACACAUAUUGUAUGUGUGGUGUUUUUUUGUUUUUUGUUUUAAAAAGUCAGAGCCUGCCUGAAGCAUAGUGGGAGAGAUAAAACUGAUAAAUGAUCCAGCGUUUGAUUUGCUGGUAUGUACAUCUGUCAUUUACAUUAUGAAAGCUGUAGGAAACUGGCCUGAGCCCGGGGUAGAAAAAUCCGCCAUGACUUCUGUUUUAAUGUUAACAUCUGUGUACACCCUCAGGUUCAAAAGAUAUUAAGGAAUAGCAGUAUAGAGUUUGUAUCACCACAGUGGUAUUAAGAUUAAGGCAGCCAGACACAUUAAAAAAAAAAAAUUACAGUAGUAGUCCAAACUUCUCCCAACAUGCUCAGGGUGAUGUUCAUGGUUCUUCUUGACAGCUAUUUUAUUAUCACAACAGCCGUGUGAGGUAGGUUAGGCAGAAAUAUAGUGAAUGGCCCACGGUUUUGAAGGAGGGAAAGCGGGAGAGUAAAGAGGACAUAGAAGAAAGGUUUAUAAAAUUAUGCAAGGUGUGGAGAAAAAGAGGCUUUUCUUGCUCUCUCGUAACACUGGAACCCAGGACCAUUCAGUGGAGCUGAAUUAUAGGAGAUUCAAGACAAACAAGAGGAUGUACUUUGUCAUAUGCAGAUACAUAGACUGUGCAAUUCAUUAAUCAUGAGAUAUAGGGUUGGUCACCAACCUAGACAGCUUUAAAAGAGGUUUAGACAAACGUGUGGAAACAAUGAGUUUCCACCGAGCUUCAAAACAAAAUACUUGACUUUAGCUCAGGAUUGAGUUUCCUGCCUGUGGUCUCCCAUGCAAGUGCUCUGAAAUGGAUCGCUCCAAAACCAUUUUCAGUAUAAAUUAAUCUUGUUGUGUUAGCAAGCAACACUAACAAUAGUAGCUUCACUAUGUUCCUUCAUUGCUCCUUCAUGUGUAGGAAUAAAGCAGGUGAAAUGUAGAUGAACAAUUAUCUCCAGUACCAAUGGAAAAAAACACUGAGCUAAGAGGCAACAACUAGCUGAAGCAGAAACAACCAGCUGAAUUUACAAAGUUAAUUUUUAACUCAAUUAAAUGAAGCAUUAAACACUAGAGUAGAAACUUUUGGUAUCACAAUCUGUUUUCUUUCAAUAUCUAUGACACCCUUCUGAAGUGGCCACGUGAUCUAAUUUACAGAGGAUAGUCUUCUCUUUGAAGAGCUGUCACAGUGCAGUCCUAUAUUUGAAGGCUUUUGUUUCAGGGCUGGGGAAUCUCGGAUGCAGUGCUACUCCAAGGUAUCAUCGGCAAUCAAAAUGGCGGCUCUUGGACCUUUUCAAAGCGGGGCAAAGGGCAAGUGGCCCAAGGAUGCCAUGCGUGGAUGCUGACUUCCUUGAGAUCACUAUGCAGUCUCCAAAUAUAGCUUAUAUUAUUGGUCAUUUGCUUGGCAAGCCAAGGGUGGCAGGGCUCUUGGUGGUAUCUACGGCUGGCUGCUACUGAUAUGGCAAUUCCUAUGUGGCUUUUAGUUUUACGCACAUUAGCAGACAUGUUAUUUUAUCCCCUUAAUCUGAGGCAAGGAGCAGGGGGUCUUACUCAGAAGUCACGUCUGUAUCAGAAACAAGUCAAGAGAAAGCUGCACAUAUGGCAAAGUAAUAUGGUUUUGAUUGUGACAUAUUGUAUAAAAUGUUCGGCACACACGUAUUUUAAAUAUAUUAGACCGUAUGAUCAUAGCUUGCGUUCAGGCUCCCUUUCAUCUCUAUGUGAUUUACAAGCUUCACAUAUGUGCACAGAUCUCUUUGCUUACCAUGAAACAGCAGCUACUUCUGGGUUGGUGCUCGCCCACUUUUAGCAUUGCCCUGCAACAUGGCAAAGUGCCGUAUCUGGAAAACUGGAAACUUUGCCCGUAUGGGAGAUGGAUCUCUGCCAGCACCUGAAGCCUGGCAGAUCAAUCAAGAUAUGGAAUAACUUAACACAAAGAAAGGGGCGGGGGGAGAUGAAUUUGAAGUGAAGCCCAAGUAGUAGCAAAAUAACUCAGUGCUUAUUCUUUCGAGUUGUAUUGUUUUUAGUGCUUUUAUACUUCCCUUGUCAAUUUUAGUUUAGUUUUGUAAACCACAGUGUGUAUUGGAUUGUGGAAAGGUGUAAGUUUUAGAAAUAAAACAAAUACAUAAGUUGUCAUUUAAGCAGGCAAACAGCCUUGGGGAACCUUAGGUUGCAUUCAUCUUAGUUGUACUAAAGGAUGAGGAAAAUGCUGUCCUAGCCAACAGUGUAUUUUCAAUAAUGUUUUUGACAAGGUCUGUUACUAAAGGGUCAGAAGGAACAUAGCGAUAAAAGCAGAAUACAUUUCCAUGGAGUCACCUUGCAACAGGUUCAACAUGUAGAAGACCGAGAUGUGGCUCAAAGUGUUAGUAGUCACGAUGGAAAGAGAUAAACAACAGGAUACCCAGGGCUCUGUGCAAGGGCUUGUGGUUAGCAUAUUAAUUACCUGUGGAAGGUUACUGAACACUGAUGUGGCAACAUUUUCAGAUGAUAACACAAUUUUCAAGAUAGUUAAAUCUGAUACAGCUGUGAAGGGUUAAAAGAAAGACCUCCCAAUUGUGGAGAGAUUUGGAAGUGAAACGGGAGUUCAAAAUCAGGGUUGAAAAGUGAGGCACAAUAGAAAACAAUAGCCACUCAAGAAAGAUCUCUUGGUGUCAGGAUAGUUUGCUCCCAGAAAAUGUCAGUUCAGUGUUCUGUUGUCAUCUAAAGGCAAAUCUAUUUAUAACUCCGAACUCGGAAGCCCUGGGUGGGUGCUAGAUCAAGGUGCUGAGUGUCUUUCGCCGGCAGAUCAAAAGAAAAUAUGCUCCACGUAGUUGUGCCAAAUUUGUAGGAAGCAUAUUUCAAACAAUUAACAUUAAAUAAUCCUUUAAUCAGCCAACCUGAGUUAGCCAAGAAUGAUUAGAGAAAGACUGAGGGGAGUGUGUACAUGGGGAGGUGGAUGCAUUGGGUCAGUUGAGUGAGGUGGAAGAGUAAAGUGUCUAAAGGGGAAAUGGUAACAGAGAAGAGGGUGAGAUACAACAUCAUAGCGGCCGAUGAAAUGAAAGUUCCCUAGGAAUGGGCAAAUCUGCCAAUUUGUUUUCUCAUUUUUGCAGCCCUAGGUUCAGUUCUCUGCAUUUCCAUACCAGUCUGCCAAAAAGAGGGGGGAGUCUCAUGUCAUUUCAUCAGUAACUUUGUGCGACUUUCUUUUAAAAUACGCAUAUCAUUUUCACUGAUACCUGCAUUCAUGUGUACCCUAUACACUAGUGUGUACAUUUUAUGCACAAUACCUGGCUGAAGAACUGCACUGCAAAAUUCAAAGAAAUGUGAAUUUAGAAGUAUGGCUGUGUCCAGUUCAGGUUUCAGAAUUAAAUAAGUGGAUAUUGCCAGCAGAAUUUUAAAGAAAAAUUUGUGCAUUUUCGCUGGUUUUUGUAAUGAAAGCAGGCAGGGCCAUCUUUACCCGGGGGUGCAAGGGGUGCGGGGCACCUGGGUCCCAAAUUCUGAAGGGGGCUCAAUGUAUACCUACUGUAUACUGGUCCCUCUAGAUCGGUGGCAGUGAAAAGCAAUGGAGCAAAAGUCCCCACCCCCUCCUCCGUCGCUCUGUUACUCCGUAGCAUCAAAUAUUCCUGACAAGUCAGGGAACAAAAGCAGUUUAUUCUGCUGCAUCAUUGUUACAAGUGAGCGAUUCCCCGCCCCCAAAAAGCUCAACAACAUUGAGUUUGCCCCCCCUGAAAAAGGUCAACAACUUUGGCUUCCUCCCUCCUCAAAAAAGCUCAAGAAAAGUUAAUUUGGGGAUAGCUAAUCUAAAUUUGGGGGCGCUGGGUGGCUCUUUGCACCCUGGUGGCGCAUAUACUAAAGACAGCCCUGAAAGCAGGAACAAAUGUUCCAUGGCAGAGUCCAUGGAGAGAAACAUUAAACUGAAAUCAAGGCAGCAGUGUGGUGUUAUAGUAGGAGUUACAGUCUUUACUAAAGUCCCAUACGUCAGUCCCGUGUGACAUCAUUAAGAGUAUACAAAACUGCAAGAAGUGAAUUUACAGGAGACCAGGCAGAGGGGCUUCUUGGUAGUUGUGCCCACCCUGUGGAAUGCCCUCUCAUCAGAUGUCAAACAGAUAAACAACUAUAUGGCUUUUAGAAGACAUCUGAAGGCAGAGGUUUUUAAUGUUUGAGGUUUUAUUGUUUUUAAUAUUUUGUUGGGAGCCGCCCUGAGUGGCUGGGGCAACCCAGUCAGAUGGGUGGCAUAUAAAUAAUAAAGUUGUUGUUUCAUUAUUUAUAGCAAUAAAUUCAUUUCAAGUUUUACGUUUUUCAUAAUUUGCAUCCCAGUAAUUAGCAAAGCAGGUCCACCUCUCUGCAAACUUAACAUUCUGCAAACUUGUUUCUCCUGUAAACCACAUCUGUCAAUUUGUCUGUUUCUGCUAACUCCAUCCCCAUAUAGAUGAAAUCUGUGAAUUUUUCUACCUGAACACACAUGCACAUUUUUGCCGCUGUUAACAAAACCACUAUUAAGGAUUUCACAUUUUUCGGGAUAUCCUCCCCGAGCAGCUUAAAUAAAAUCAACAUGCAGUAAGACACAAUACAUACCCUAUAUUAAUCCUUUGUGACAGAGGCAGCCUGACAGAUAAAAAUACAAACUCUCUUCCAGUUUACAGGGGUUUUUUUCCUCUUGUCUGGUCACUUAGAGAUUAUUCUUAUAAGGUGCAGGUGAUUAGGCUAGUAUCUCUUUGCAAGCUGAUUGUGUCAAGUUCCAUUCAUUUCCCAUUAGCAAGGAAUGGAUGGGUUUGAUACUUUAUAAAUAUGUCAUUGGCAUAUACUUUUAAUUUAAAACUGGAGAUCAGGAAAUACAGAUCUGCAACUUGGCUGUGGCGCGAGGAAGCAACUUGUGUUUGUGUGCACUCUCAGCAAGUGUGAAGGAGAGCUGAGCUUUCACAAUGAAUUAUUAAAGUGCUGCUCACAUACUGUCAAAGGGAACUGUGCUAAUCUAAUCAUAAUCCAUCUAGUAGUGCCACAUCUGUCCGACACCUCCACCUCUUCAUUUACAAUCAGCCUUAAAUAGUACGUAAUCAUUAAUGUCUACCAGCCUGUCAGAUGGAGCAGCAGAUUCAGUUAUCUUUCCAUAUCAAAGAAAUUGUGUUCUGGAUUCCACCGAUGUUGUCGGAAUCAGACUUUGGUAACUGCAAUGUGAUGUAAGUUGGCAGUGUAAGCUUGUCACCGCAGUCAGUCAGUAGUGACUGAGGAUAGAUGGGUACAGUCAGAUCGAUGGUGCUUUGAUACCUGGAAGCAGGCAUGGAAACACGUGCAUAGAGAACAUGAGUCAAACUUGCAAGUUGGCAUCAGUUGUAAGCCAGGUCUCUAUGGAGGCUUCGGAAGCUUACAGAGCCAAUUUGCUGUCCUGCCACUGAUCUCCUCUUUGACCCUAAGAAAGCAGCUUUUGCUUAGGUUAGAGCUGCAGUGUAGCUAAGUGGUAGCACAACGCCUAAGGACUACCAGACAGCCAGCAGCAGUGUUUAAAGUGGACAUUUACUAUGCAAGCUGCUCCCCACCAUACAGAGAACAUCUGCUUUGCCUGCAGAAGGUCCCAUGCUCAAUCCAUGGUAGCUCCAAGCAGGGCUGGGAAGGACCCAUCUGAAACCCUGGAGAGCUGCUAUCAGUCAAUGACCUAGGCAGACCCAUAUGGUCCGACCCAGUAUAAAGCAGCUUCCUAUGUUCUCAAGGCACCUUUGCACACAUAUUUUUGUUUUUUCAAUAGUGUGGCAUAGGAACGUGGGGAUGUAGUUAGGGUUCAUCCAUAAUGUCAGGAGCCGGAGUCAGGGGCAGGUGUCAUUGAAGUUAACUUUAUUCAAAGAAAACAAAACAGCACAGGUCUAGUGAUCACAGCAACUCUUCCCAGCUGAUCUUGCCCCAAUGAGGCAUUUGCGAGGACUGAAGGUCCCCACCUUCCCACCACUCCUUAAGUCUCCUCCUCCCGCAGUUUCUUCCCAAGCAAUCUGAGGCUGUUUCAUCUUACCUGCCUUUGCUCUGCCCUUUUCAUACCUCUGCAUGUUCUGGGAGACCAAGGGGAGGAGAGCUGGUCACAGCAGGAGAGGGAGACUCCCUGGCUUUUUCAGCAGCCUGCCUCCACUCUGCCUCUUGAACCCUUCUCUGCUUCUGCCUCUGGUUCUGGACUGCUCUCUGCCACAGCCUCUUCCUGCUCACUAAAACCUGUUACUUCAUCAGCUUCCAACACCUCCUCCUCCCAGUCUGCUCCCUCUUUGUCCUCUGAUCACUCAUCGCCAUCCCACCACCAAUCCCCUGGCUCUGAGCCUUCUUCCCCUGGGGGUUCCCUUGGGGGCUUCCCACCUCUCCUAUGCAUCUAGCCAGUCCAUGACACAUACCUACCUUUUGCCCCACUCUUCGCAGGCAAAGGUCUGCACUUUAAAGCUCAGUGUUUUUGCUCCAGAGCUUUCCCCUGUGAAAAACCUGCUCUUUAAAGCUGAAGUACAACUAUAGUGAAUUCAGGUGUUCUGCGGGUUGCUGUUUGCUCCGAUUCAGCUUUGGAGAACAGGUUGUCAUGGAUCUAAAGCUCUGGAACAAGAAAAAGAAGGUUGCUUGGACACAGAGCUUUAAAGGGCAAACUGGGCCUCAAAAGCAUGGAGGAGAGGGAAGUGUGAAUAACCUUACACUGAGACAGAUCAUGUAGCUCGGCACUCCAGGAUUUCAGACAGGGGUAUCUCCCAGCCCUACCUGGAGAUGCUGGGGACUGGACAAGGAACCUUCUGCAUGCCAAGCAGAUGUUCUAUGUAGGGCAGGGAGCAGCUUGCACAGAGGAUAUGAGGGCCAGUUUAACAUUACUGCUGGCCUUGGGAAUAUCUGUCCAAACAGAAGUUCAAAAGUAGCGACUAGAACAAAACCCUCCAAUGUGGCUCACAGAAUGAAAACAAAACAUUGGAACCUUUUGAACCAAACCUUGAAUAAUGCCUCCGUCCUCGCCAGCCCCCACAGCCACCCAAACUAAGCCUCUGAAUUCUUGACCCAUCUGAACCCUUCAGCUCAAGUGUGUCUGGCACAGGGAAGAAAGUGCUAAUGGGUCUCAAUGGUAAGAAGGAGACUCUAAAAAAGAAAUGGAGCACUGAUCAGACAGGAAAUGCCUCAUGAAAGUUGAGUGGAUUGCCUCUGGAUGUUUAGAGAAUCAGCUACCAAAUAACUGGUGCCUUGGGGAUAUUUUGUGAGCUCUUGAAACAAAUGUUCACUUUUUUUAUUAUUAUCCUUGCUAUCAAUCCUUUGCGGGUGACCAGUGCUUAGAUGGAUUUGGGACUGAAAGAUGGUCUGUUGCAUUUCACAGUUUGUUCACAGACAAAUCCUGCUGUUUUGGUUUCUCUGGCAGCCUUUCUUCUUUUAGAAAUAUGCUCAGCACGCCCAGGUAAGGGAGGUUCGCACCAUCUUGGGCAUUUAAAACAGGUAAAACUGAAAGAGAGUGUGAUGGGAGGGAACAUCAGGCAAAAAGAUCUGCUCCUUUCCAUUUUUCUUCUCCCUGACUGCUCACUUGUCAGAAGACCCAAGUGCCAGAGACAAAUGUCAGUUUUAGCAGCUGACAGGAAUGUCUGGUCCCAUUGCGCACACCGCAGAUACUGUGGCCCCAAUUUAAAUAACCAUGGUUUCCCCCAAAGAAUUCUGGAAACAGUAGUUUGUUAAGGGGGCUGAGAAUUGUUCGGAGAGCUGUAUGCCCCUCACUUACAGUUCCCAGAGUGGUUUAACAGUCAGUUUCUCUUCCUAGUGAACACUGGGAAUUGCAGCUCUCUGAAGGGAAUAGGGAUCUCCUAACAACUUUGUGCACCCUUAACAAGCUACAGUUCCAGGAUUCUUUAGGGAAAUAGCAACUAUUUUAAGAAGUACAUACCUUCCAAUAUGAAGUGGUCAAAAACGGGGACACCAUAUUCCAGGGCCUUGCUCCUGAUCUAGGCGAGAUUGUGCCCCCCAAUGCUUUUUUCAGGCACAGCACCCCAAAACACGCACUUUGAGGCACCGUGUAAGAUCGUAAAAGUGCUGUAUCGGGGCAGCAAUCUUACAUGGCACCCCAAAAUGCACAUUUUUGGGCACUGUGCCCGAAGAAAGCGCAGCCUGAAAUUGCGCAAGAUUACAGCAGCCAUUUUGUCCACUUUCCCCACAUGAGAAAAUAUGUCCCAUUUUUUUCCACGGUGGUUGACAGGUAUGGUAGUAUGAUAUUGCCUUAGAUGAAUAGUGCAGAUGAGGCCUGGGUCUACUGCGGCUCUAGCCCAAAGAUGAUAGGGGAACAAAAUUAAUUUAUAUAAGACCAUUUGUAUAAAUGGACUAGAAAGGUUAAUUUUUUCAUAAUAGUAUUAUCAGGGCAUUAAUCUAAGAAUGCUAAAGCCAUAGGCUCUCGUGUGUGUGUGUCCUUCUGUGUGUGCCUUGAAUUUCCCAGAUCAGUAAUAAUAAUAGUAAUAAUAAUAAUAAUAAUUAUUAUUUAUACCCCACCCAUCUGGCUAGGUUUCCCCAGCCACUCUGGGCGGCUUUCAACCAAUAAAAAACACAUACCAAUGCUCACAUAAAGAAACCACUCUCUCUUAGUCUAAUCUUCCUUACAGGGUUGGUAUUGUAAGGAUAGAGUAGAUGGAACCUCAAUGUCUGCAGGCCAUCUUGACCCUGUUUAAGAAAUUUGUUACUUCACCACAGCCAAAUCCAAUUUCUGCCCCCAUUUCAAUUUCCAAUGGCAUCCCUGCAAAUGGCAAUUAAUAAUUGUGGAUCAAGGGUGAAGAAAUAUACAGUGUAAUGACCUCAGGACCUGAGGUAGGUUAAGAGUUUGGGAGACGAAGUGGGUAUGGUUCUACCAUUUUUGAUACGGUGUUGCUUAUGGCUAAUACAUAAGCUCAUGUGGUUUGAUACUUAGGGUGGGGCGUGGAAUCCCUCUGCUCCUCUCAGAGGCACCCCUGGGUUGCCAACAUUUAUUUUCCGGCCCCAGGCUGCAUCAUUUAAGAAGGCCUAAAGCAGGGUUUUCUUCCUCCUUUCCCCUCACAAUUUAUUUCUGGCCCUUUUUCAGCAAGAAAUCAAGAUACAUGACAAAGCCUAGUCAACAACCCUGACAUCCUUGUGAAGUUUCUCUUGACACCAAGAGGCUUUCUAUGUUUCCUUCCACUUUCUAUGUGAUUUACUUUCAUGAGAAAUGAAUCAGUGGCAUACUGACGAGCUGAUUUCACACAAAAAUCAGACAGAAUUAAUUACUUUUAGCCACUCUUCCUCCCGGCUUCUGAUGACAGGCGAUGGUACUGUGAACCCCAUUGAUACUCACCCUCUUCCCCUCCAAUGACUGUCGCCACCACUUUGGUACAAAUCCAUCUCCCAUUUACCUCGGUUCCUUUGUCAGCCAAGAAACUCUGUUCUUGGUGCCAGUUUUCUCUUCUGCACUGGCACAACCAGGGCUGGCCCUACCGUUGGGCAAAGUAAGGCAUCUGCCUCAAGCAGCAGGCACUGUAGAUAGCAGCAGUGACAGGCCCUAUCCUGUCUGUUCCUCCUGAACCAUCCCAACUUGGGGGAGGAUCAAGCUGCACAUGCAAUUCCUCACUGGUAAAUGCAGCAUCAACAAUGAAAGGAAGAGCAAACUCUUAGGCCAUUCUAUGCUGUGCCUUAUAGCAAAUAUUUAUCUCAAGCUCACCACCACCAUACAUCUGCUGUAUAAGGACAAUGGGAGGAAUUCAGUGUCACACUAUUAUGAUCACUAUUGUGGGUGCAAGCAUUUCUGCUUUCCAGACACAAUGAUCUCCCCUUUCUUCCCCCAUAUGCUAUUCUGGAGAUUCUCCAGACCACCAGUUUCCUCCCCACAAUAUGCUGGAAUGCUGCUAAGUCCAGAGCAUUGUGGAAGAUGCAAAAUGGUGGCCAGACUGCCAGCACAGUUGCUGUUGUCACUUGUAACAGCAGCAGCGGCGGCAAGAAAACCACACAAAACCGAAAGAAAAGUGCUAUUGCCACUGUUCAUGGUGAACCCUAAAUCCAAGAAACUGUUGAAGAUUUAUUGCCUACUCACAGGGUAGGAUAUUGUCCCCAGUUUCUCUUCCCACAAAUAGGUGGAGAAUUUUGAGGUGUCAUUUGUGCAUAGUUCUGUGCUGCUUGGGCAGGCUAUGUUGGAAAAUGUUCUGUUCUGUCCAGCUUGGCUCGCUCUAUUGCCAUUGUUCUCAUUUGGUAAAAUCCACUGGCAAAUACAUGAGCCUCUUCUCUAAUUGGUUACCAUAAUGCAGUGGCAGCCAAGUAGCACUCUGAGCCAAUCUCACACUCUGAGAUUAGUGGGGGUAAGGGCUGCUUUUCAACAUGGGUGGUGGUGGUUUUGCCAAAUGUAAGCAACUGAGCAUGCUCAGUCCACACUGUGCUGUUUUGGGAAGAUACCCCUCCCCUUAGCAAUUGUUAAAGAGAUUUAUAUACAUCUGCAAACCUUGUGGUUUUCUCCAAGCCUGCUGACACAUCCUUCUUGUGCAUGGAUGGUGCUGUUAUUGGCACUCAUGCCACAGCGCAGAAAAUAGAAGGAAGGAUAUAUUUCCCAUAAAAUGCACAUUUGACAAACUCCAGUAGCCAAGCUGAGAAUGUAAGUCACAUCUUCUCCACGUUACAUUUGCAGGCUCCCUGAAUCCCAAAUCUACUCACUCGUAUCUUCAAAAAAAACCAAUACUUUCAACUUUUAUCUCUCUCGUCUCUCCUAAAAUAGCUAGCCAGAUGGGUUAUCACUAUUGCCACUAGGGGGCAUAUUACAGCUUGCAUAGCAUAUGACAGCCUAGCCGUAAGUUAACAAGCCUAACGCAAUCUUUCAAUUUUUGUUAUUUUUCUUCUUCCUUUUUUUAUUGUAUGGGAUCAUCUCUGGACACUGUUUGUACUUUGAUCUCUCCAAAGUUUGGCAUCCCUCCUACAAAAAAAAUGAAAGUGUGCAAGAGAGAAAAGAGCCCUUUGUUCUCCACAGCUGUCGUCAUUCUGUAGAAAAAUCUCAGCGCAGGUAUUAAACACUCGUUAUUGAUCGGUCAGCCGGUGGUCCAGUUUUAUCUUCUCAUACCUGUCGGAGUGAGGUUAUUUGCACUACAAAUAAUUUGGUUCCUGAGGUCUCACUGAAGUUAAAAGCGCAGGGUAGGCUGGAACACUGAUGAAAACAUGUCGAGGGAACUGCAACAGGAGGCUCCCAUCCAAUAAAGAAUCGCCGCACUCCCAAUGACAGACUCUUCAUGCAAUACCACAGGCUGCAUCCAUAGCACCAUGCUCCUGAAUAGUCAUAUUCUAAUGUAAAGCAAAGCCUGAACGAGAUUACCAACCUCCCAGGGCAAGUGUCUAAAAAAAGGGGAAAAGUUCCUGUCCACUUAAUCUGUGCCUUUUUAAAAAAAAUGUUACAAUUCUUCAUGUGUGCAUCAACAGACACAUAUUUUUUAUGGUGCCAAUUUAGUUAUAAUGUUGUGCUACAGUACCCUAACUAACCUACACAAAUGCUCAUCUGACAAGUUGCUGAUACUGUGUGGCCCCCAAUUUACUUACACUGUUGAGUAACAGUCUUGUGCUUUGUUCUUUACAAUAUUUCUUUCUAUGCCAUGCCAGUGCUGUAUCUCACUGACAAGCAGCUAUUAUUAUAUCCCUCACCUUUCUGGCUUAGCCUCUACAUUCACUAGUGACAGGCAUUUAUGACAAUGCUGAAAUUCACCAUGAAUCCCUUCAUACACAAAACACACCAACCAAGCUAUUUACACUACUAUGAAGACCUCUCCAUCACCCUCCCAUCCCUAGCUGAACAAACGGCACUAGACUUCAAAGGUUCUAAGAGGUAGAACAUUUGUUCAUGACAGCUAGGGCUGCCAUAUGCCCGGAUUUUCCUGGACAUUACUGGGAUUUCAUGGGCGGAAUUGACAUCUGGGGGGAAUUUCUGAAAGGCAGUGCUUUGUCCUAGACCUAGAUCUUAGGCAAGUCAAUUGAAAAAACAGUGUUUGGUGUUUUCGUAACCAACAAUUUUUUGGUCUUCGUAAAAAAUAACUUUUGGGGUAUCCUGGUUUUUACUUUUUGAAAUAUGGCAACCCUACCACAGUAGCACUCAAACUGAGAGUGCACUAGUCACCUAAAAUGCAGCUCCUUCAGUGAAGGAGGAAGUCCACAUAUAGCAAGACUGCUUAAAGUGUUUAAAGUUAAACCUUAAAGUGUUUCCUAUCAACAUUAUUACCUUUGCUCUUUGGAUCCUCUUCUAUGACCCUCUUGUGGUUUCUUACAGCAUCUCGGAGUAACUUCACAUGUUCCUUUUUCUGACAAACAGCUGAAUCAUCUAGUUGGGAAAUGUGAGUAAAAACGUAUUGUGAGAAUGGCUGCCCAAAUUCCUCUUUUAUGUGGGAUUUUAACAGAUUCCCAUGUGCAUCUAACAGAAGGAAUAGUGCCCGUGUUUUAAAAAAGUAUAUAAAAUAAAUUAUACAAAUGACUGAAUGUUCGUCUAUCUUUUUUGCUUACUGUGUUUCAUAUACUUUUUGAAUCGUGUAGUAAUCCUUAUGUUAGAAACAGUAAACCUACAAUGUCUCCUAGUAUCAUACAGAAACCACCGAACAUGUGGGCCUGCAACCCUGGUUGCAUCUGUGAACAGUGGGGCUGAAAAACAAAAACAAACUCAAGUUGGGCCAUAUGUCCUCAACAGCAAUCGGGUACUCAAUGAUAUGCGUGGUGACAAACUAUGAUGCAAUUUCCCUUCCCUGGGCAGGAAGCAAAUUAGAUAAAGAUAAAGUAGCUUGCUUGGAAUGAGAUCUCUCUGAGCUUGCACCUUUGGAGAGGUUUAACCCUGCAAGAUAGGUCAGCAUGAAUCUCCCCAUAUUGCACAUGGGGGACUGAGAGAUAACAGCUUGCCUCAGGCCACCUGGUGAGAUCAUGGCUGAGGAGAGGGAUGAAGUUCACCAAGCAGAAACCAGAGGCUUCAGAAGAAGAGCUGAGCGUGCCUCCUGCCGCAAGGUGUGCACACCGAACCCCACACCAUUCGGGACAUUCUCCAUCGCCAGAACAGAGCAACAUCCUCCCAAGGGAAGGCAAAGAGGUGUCACUUUUUUGGGGGGGGGAAUGUGUGCCUCAUUAUCAGAUAGCUGAACAUGAAGUUCUUAGUUACAGCAAGUAAAUAAAGCGUGGAGGAUACAGAAGCAGCAGCAGUGGAGGAGGUUUUCGCAUGGUCUGGCUCCCACAUGUGCCGAGAUCGUUAGAAUGAUUUAUAGGGAAGAAUGCUAGUCUUUUUUCUUUUUUGCUUUAUAAUAAUACAUUAGGCUUUUAACCUCUGACCAAAAGAGGUGGAAGGGAGGAUUCAGAAAACACCAUGUUGCUUGCAGCCCGGCCUGACCUGGGGGAACUACCUCUUUGCCCCCCCCACCCCCCGCCUUCCUGGGUUCUUUCAAACCACAAAGCUCAGGGUGCUUCCGCAGCGCAUGAGGGGUUAAGCCAGGCUGUGGAAUGCAAGAGUUUACAGAGAGGCGUCGGCUGCCUUGAGGUCACCUGUGAGGGAUUAGCUGGGCCUUGCAGACAGUUGUUGUUUGAGGACUGUCUGAGGCCUCAGAAAGGGGGUAGUGGGGGUGGUGGAAAGGGGGGGUGAAGAAUGGCCCGGCGGGUGGGAUCUUCCUGUCCUGCUGGGAUUAUACAACUAUCAGAUGCAUUUGUGAAAGCCGAACUGUAAACUCUCUGUCUUUUUUGUUAAGGAAAUAAAUCCAUCACCGGCUUCAGGGGGAAAGAAGGGGAAAAAAUGAACCUCUCCUCUCAGUAUGUUUCAAGGCAAAGGUGGAAGCGACCCGGCAGGGAUGGCGCAGUGCACAUGCCGGCCAGCUCUUUAGACACUGAGGAAGCCUUUGUGGCUAUAGGCAGUGGGGAUCCCUUGUCUUCUCCGGUUGGAACUGGCCAAGCGGGAUUGCCAGGCCCCUCCUCCUCCGGAUAAGCUUUCUGUGCGAGAGAGACAAGAAUUACCAAAAAGUUCCGAGGAAGAGGGAGACCAGAGGGCCAACUUCUCAAGCGAAGGGGGAAACACGGUUUGCCCGCACUUCUGACCUACUCAGAUGCUGGUUGGGGAUUUCCAAAAUGGCCCCGAAGGAGCUGGCAUUCCUGUUCUGAAACAUUAACAGCCAGCUGCUGGGUUUGCACGCUGAGAAGGAAGCCCCGUUGAGUUCAGUGUGGCUUGUUCCUAAGUAAGCGCACCUAAAGCAUUUGUUUGUGAAAAUGCUUUGGUUUGUGAAGAAGAAAACCACGGCAUGUUGGGUGACGAUACGUGAAAGAAGAGAUUGUGCCAUUCGUUUGUUUAUUUUUGCCUUGGGUAGAACAAAACAAAAGCCUAAGAAAGCCAUAAAAAGGGAUUCAAUUGUAUCAAUGAAAUAUUAACAAAAACUAUGCAAAUACCAUAAUAUGAGGAAGUUGAGAUCAUUAAACAAGAAGUGCCUCUCUAAACAUUUUUGUUUCUUGCCUUCUGAGUGACGGCAGGCCUGCCACAGAAAAGGCCCUGUUUUCUGCCCUCACAGAUCUACCUCGCAGGGAUGGGAACCAGAGCACAUGCUACCCUGAUCAUCUUAAAAAGGGGUGUAUGUUUGUGUAUCUCUCUUCUGUCUUUGGAUGUGAAACUUGAAAUUGCUGCCUGUACCACAGAUAUUUAAAAAUUACCCUCUCUCACAGCCUCCACCCUGGUGUGCUUAAUGCAGUUCUCUAAGCAAUUGUGUCAGAGAAGUCCUGUUGGCUUCAUUGUGACUACACUGGCAUUAGUAGUUUUCCAGGGAGCAACUGUAAGGCAUUUUAGACCUCAAAGGGCCAUUAACUUUCACUGGUAUUUAAGCACUUUUUAAUCAGCGGUCGUAGCAGUUUAUCUGAAUCUGUUCACAAUCAUUUAGCUGCAUUUUCUGGAUAUGCAGCAGACAUAAGAGGCAAUGAAAGUUAAUGGUAUUUACUUGACUAAGGGUGAGUUCAUGCAUGUUCGUUAUUUACUGAGCUUCUCCUGCAGUGUUUAAAAUAUUAACAGAACCUGCAGAAUGCCUUGAUUUGGAUCAAGACCAUAGCAUUGGAGGAACAAAUCCCCCCCCCCCCAGUUUCUUGGUCCAAAUUGCCCUUCAGGAGCUGCCAUUUGCUCUAUUGAAGAAAAUGUAUACAUACCAGAAAGGUAUCAGUGGGUUGCCCAUUCCUGCCCCACCAGCAUGAAGCAAAUACCAACUUUAGGGUAGGGAAAGCAUGGAACAGGAAAAUAGUAUGGGGAGAAAGCAUUGAUUUCCUUCCACCAGUGCCUUAUUCCUGAUCCAAAUUAUCUUGGAUGUCCCAGGUCAUAAUAUUUUGCAUGUGUGUAACAGCUGUCAUAGGUAAAACAGACAGAGCUUUUGUAUUUUGCAUGGUUAAUCUUAUGGCAUCAUUUCCCCGGAGACCUCUGACAUGUACAUAUGUGUGUGAACCACCAGCAAUGUAUACCGGUGGGAGGGGGCAGAACAGCAGUGGUACUAAUCACACUGGGAUGGGAAUGGGGCAAGGUCAGGGAAGCCCCACAGGGGUGUGUGGACCUUGCGGGGCUGCUGCCAACUCCAACCCAGAGUUCCCUUGACCUCACAGCUGCCUUGCCCUGGUAGCCCCAAGGAUGCUGCCCCCCCAUGCCGUGCUGGUGGUGGUGUGAAUCAUCACUACAGAAUCUAACCCUUCCUCUGUGUGUAUAGUUACUGGCCAAUGACCUGUUCCUGUGUGGAGGUUUGAUGCGCAGAAAUCAGCAAGCAGUUUUUUAAUGACACGGAGCUAAACAUUAUCAACUACAAACCGGACCCAUUCAAAAGGUGGAAUUCCGCCCUGCUCUCGGUGACUUGAAAUAUUUUAUGGCUCUCUUUAGGACCAUAAAGCAUCUUAUUGUCUACCCCCUGCAAUACUUAAGCAUUUGCCGUGUUAAAAACUAAAGUUAAAUCUUAACCAGUUGAGCCAGAUGUUUCUCUGAUGUCAUCUUAAGAGUUUUCAAGGCCAUUGUUUGAUUGCUUAAUUUUUCAUACAAAACCAGAUAAACUUGUUUCUAUUCUUUAGCAACUGGUUUUUCUGCUAAUGAUUGCUUCCAAUGAAGCAAUAGUUUACUGACAAAUAUUUGUUUAAGCAUAGUCCCCACAAGGAACUGGAACCAUGUGACAAGUUGUUCUGAGUCUUCCACAGUCAGAGGCAGUGUAGCUGUGAUUAUUAGGUUCUGAGGACAAACAACAGGUGGGGACUUAAUUCCAUUGUGUCCUGCUGGUGAAUUUCCAGGACAUGCAGCUCACCACUCUUGAGGUCUAUGGUCUUUAUUAGAUUAACUUCUGGCUUGAUCCACCAAGUCACAUCUUGCACACUUAAGAAAGGCAAGCAGAUACAUCAGUACUUUGCUUCACGGGC